UUUUUUUUUUUUUUUUUGUGGGUAGUUUGUUUAUGCAUUUAUACGAAUAAUAAUGAGAAGCUCCACAUUAUACAUCAUAAUCAUAUACUAUUAGCUAUAAAAUGAGAACUUAAUCAAUUCUUGACAAUAAAAGUAACACAAAUAUAGAUCAUACAUAUAAGCUAGAAAAACUAUAGGAAGAAGGAGAAAAGAAAAGAAAGGGAAAAACAAAAAGAAGAAUAAAAGACUCAAGAUGUCAAGGAGACUUUUAUUCAGAAUAAUCAGCGGCUUGAAUUCUUGACUUUGAGUGCUAAUUAAGAUUAAAGCUGGAGCUCGUGCAGCAUGAGACUGGACUGGAAUAUUUAACGUAUUUGAAUGCACCGACGGAAGAGGUUCCAGAGCCGGAUUUCUCUAAUGAAAAUCUUGUGGAGAAGAUUUUGAUGUUUGAAAAUGUUGCCGUGUUAGAUUAAAUACAUUGCACAUCUUAAUAGUUCGCCUUCAAUAAUUGAAGGUCAUAAUCAAAGUCAAGAUCAUCUUCUUGUCCUUUAAGAAUUUAAUAAUCCUUGAAAAGAAUUUUAAAUCCAAACUAAUAGAUGAUGAACUUAUUAUUUGCUCAAACUAUUUAAAAUUAAGAAAUGUAAUUUGGGAUAACUUUUACAACCCCAUGCUUAUAUGAAUACUGCUUUGACCUAAAUUGAAUUUGAAUGGAGAGAGUAUAAAAACUAAUAGAGUAUUUUAGGAAAGAAUGAAUAUUUCUACAAUUUAAAUGGACUUUUUUUUUAAUUUAAACGGACUUCUAUGAGUAAUAUGCUAAAACUGUGUUAUAUGGAUUCAUUAAAAGCUGAAAAUUGUCAAAACUACAGUUAGGAAUGUCAUGUGCUCUGGAGACUCUAUGUGGGCAAGCUUAUGGAGCUCAGCAAUACCAGAAACUUGGAACACAGACCUAUACUGCUAUCUUUUGUCUCCUCAUUGUUUGUAUCCCUAUCUCAAUUAUGUGGAUAUACUUGGCAAAGAUACUUAUUUUGAUUGGACAAGAUCCUCUGAUUUCACAAGAAGCUGGAAAAUUUGCCAUGUGGCUUAUCCCUACUCUCUUUGGCUAUGCAACUUUUCACCCAAUUGUCCGAUACUAUCAAAUGCAAAGUCAGAUCUUUCCCCUGCUCAUGAGUUCCGUCAUUUCAAUUUCCUUCCACGUACUCGUUUCCUGGGUGCUGGUAUAUAAGUCUGGAUUGGAAAGCCGUGGAGGUGCAUUAGCUAUGGGCGCGUCAAUCUGGGUAAAUGUGACUAUUCUCGUUUUGUACAUGUACUACUCUUCCUCCUGUGCAAAAACCCGCGCUCCAAUUUCAAGGGAGAUAUUCCACGGAGUGAGAGAAUUUUUCCGCUUUGCAAUUCCUUCCGCUGUCAUGAUUUGGUAAUAUCCAAGUUUGCAUUUUUUGUGCAUGCAAGUGCCUAAGAAAUAAACUUAUUGAGGUCUUGUUGGAUCUUCCAUCCCUAAUGCAGUCUAGAAUGGUGGUCAUAUGAGGUUCUCAUAUUGUCAUCAGGCCUUCUGCCAAACCCGCAGCUUGAAACUUCAGUCCUGACUGUAUGGUAUGUUCUAAAAUCAUUAUCCUGAAAUAAACAAAAUACAUUGAUUUUCAUGAAAUAAUCUGAAAUUUUUUCUGAACUUUCUCAAUAGCCUCAACACCCUUAUAACACUCUAUUCAGUACCAUAUGGACUUGCUGCUGCUGUGAGGUAUGCUGAAAGCAAAGGGCAUUCAUUUCUGAUUAUAUUGCUUCUAUCGUUUGGAUAACCAAAAGAAUGCAAAGAUUAAAUUCUCUCUUUUUUCUGCAGCACUAGAGUUUCAAAUCAGUUAGGAGCAGGGAACCCAGAAGGUGCUCGAAUUUCUGUAAUUAGUGUGAUGCUUCUUGCUGUCAUAGAAAACAUAAUACUAAAUUCAGCCCUUUAUGGUAGCCGGCAUGUAUUUGGCUAUGUCUUUAGCAGUGACAAGGAAGUUGUUGACUAUGUCACAACUAUGGCCCCCUUUCUUUGUCUAUCUAUUUCAAUGGAUAGUAUACAAGGAACCCUUGCAGGUAAUCCUUUCAUCCAUAAACAUUUUUGUUUCUUUUGUUGUUCUUUUUGUCCUGUUUCAUCUAUGUUUAUGCAGUGGAGGGACGGGCAGGAGGGGCUUGAGGUUGGACAGUUGCCUUAUAAUGAAACUACUACUUUCAGGUGUUCAAAGAGGAAGUGGCAGGCAGCACAUAGGAGCUUAUAUCAAUCUUGCUGCAUUUUAUCUUGUUGGAAUCCCUAUUGCUCUUACAUUGGCUUUUGUGGUAAAGUUAAAAAUAAGAGGGAGAGGUCUUUGGAUCGGAAUCCUAUCCGGUUCUUUUCUGCAAAGUUCACUUCUCGCCAUAGUAACAAUCUGCACAAAUUGGGAAAAAGAGGUCUUUUAUCUGAUUUUUUUUUCCAUACUUCCAUAAUGCUACUUCCAAUUUAAAUUUGAAAAUGUUUUGAUUCUCUUCAAUUACUCCAAAGGCUUCAAUUGUUUUGCUUACAAUGCAGGCAAGAAAUGCACGAGAGAGGUUGUUCCAUAAAAAGUUUUCAGCUGAAGAUGCAGUAAUGUGAUCAUAAGAGCCUACAGCCGACUUAGAACAACUUUUCUGUUGUGGUCCAAGAAAUUGCAUAAUAAUUGAUAGGCAGUUCUUCAUUUUGGCACCAGAACUUCAACUGCAGUUUGUACUAAAUUUCCUCAUUUCAGCAAGUUAUGGUAUAAUGCUGUCAUGCCUUUUGGUGGCUGCAUGAAGCUGGAGCUAAGGACUGUAAUCACCUAGGAUUUAUUCUUCUGUUAUUAUUCUCCUUUUGGGAAGUUCAGAAUGAGACUUUUUAGUGAGUGGGAACUGAGAAGUUUGCGAGGAACAUUACUACAUUGGCACUGCCAUUUCCUGUUUGCUACAAUUUUCUUCAAGAGUGCAAUCCAGUAUCUACAACAUGAAAGUUUGCUUGCAGACCAGUUUAAUACUCUCUGAGAAUUUGCUUGGGACCUGUUUAACACUCAUAAUACCAAGCAACUCAACAAGGGUGCAGGUACAUUAUGACUGAUCUUACGUGAAAACUUUUUGCCUCAUUUUACCUUAUUGGUUCGGUAAAAGGUGCAUUGGCUUCUUCAGACAAAUGAGCCACCUUUCGUCUACCAGCAUUAUGAACAACAAAGGAGUAACAGUGGCAUCCAAAUUAACGUUUUCUUAUAACAAAGUUCUCAACUUUGUCACACGAUAAUCCAUAAAUUAAGUGCUUCCUUUGGUUCCAAUCAAUAAAUCUUUGGAAGCAGAACUCUUGACCGGCCAAUUCCAAUUUUUGUUUGGUUUUUGUGACAAUUAUUUUAAAAAGUGAAUAUUUUUUAAUGAUAGCGAGAUCGUGAAAAUAAAUCGCAAAUUCUGAACCAACUCCUAAGCAAAGAAGCAUUCAUGCUAAUGAAUAUUUGGUCCAUUGGUCAGGGUCAAGGUUAUUACCCCCAUAACUUGGCUUCAAGUCUUGCUAAGUUGUAAGUCUAUUUUAUGUUACUAUUAUCUCACCAAAUAUAGGUGCUAAUGAUAUUUUGAAUCAAUUUGUAGUUACUUGUACUGAUCAUACAAUUGUGGGUUAUGUACGUAAUCUUAUAAAGAAAAGCAAUGUAAUCCUAGAAAAGAAAAGAAAGAAAACUUUAGCUUUUGUGGUAAAGUUAAGAGGGAGAGGUCUUUGGAUCAAUGGAUUGGAAUCCUAUCCGGUGCUGUUCUGCAGAGCUUUACUGGUCGAAAGCCGUAGCAAAAAUCUGCACAAAUUGGGAAACAGAUGUCUGUUAUCUGACUUUUUCCAUACUUCCAUCUUCCAAAUUUAAAUCUGGCAAUGUUUUGAUUCUCUUCAACCACCACAAAGCUUUCAAUUGUUUCGUUUAACAUGCAGGCAAGAAAGACACGAGAGAGGUGGUGGCUCCGGAAAAUGUUUUCAGCUGAAGAUGCAGUAAUGUGGUGACAAGAGCGUACGGAUGAUGGGAUUUGAACAACUUACUGCUCAGUGCUUGAAGAAAUCACAGGAUAACACCAAAUUUUCAACUGAAAUAUGGACUAUUUCCUUCAUUUGCAGCAAGUUAGUGUAAUCCUGUUGUGCCUUUGAUGGAUGCAUGAAGCUGGAGCUAAGGACUGUUAUCACCUAGGAGGCUAGGAUUCAUUCUUCUGUUAUUGUUCUCUCCUUUUUGAAAGGCUCAGACUGAGACUUUUAGUGAGUGAGAAGUUGGCAAGGAAUAUUACCACAUUGGCUCUGCCAUUUCCUGUUUGUCUACAAUUUUCUUCCAGAGUGAAAUCCAGCUUCCAUUGCAGAAAAAUUUUCUUGGGAUUGGAGACCAGUUCAAGACUAAAAUGAUCAAGCAAAUCAGCAAGGAUACAAAAGUACAUCCAUCUUUUUUGGAUUAAAAAAAAAAAUAAUAAGUCCGGGAUCAGGAGUCUCGCAAGUUGAAUUCUAUUAAGUUGAAAUCAAUUUAUUUUGAUGUGAACUCAUAUGAUAUUAAUGUACAUUUGAAUUUGUCAAUUACAUCAAAAUUACACGAAUUUAUAACAAAGGAAAGGAAACUACAAAAAUUAUGCUCGAACUGAUUUGAACCGGACAAAAUUUAACCUUUGAGACCCCUUAUACUUAGCUCCUUUAGAGUUCACACAUGAACGACCUUGCCUUAAUGAUGACAUGAAUUCACUGUGGCAUCCAAAUUAAUAUUCUCUCCUACAAUACUAAAAGCUUUGUUGAGUUCCACAUAAUUCGAUCUUUGGAACUAGGGCCAAUUGCAAAUUUUAUUUGGUUUUUUUAUGAUAUUAAGACAAAAUUCAUUUUGAAAAUUUAAUUUAUUACUCCCUCCGUCCCACUUUGAUAGUCCUAUUUCUUUUUCACACAGUUUAAGAAAAAGUAGUUAACUUUGUUGGAAAAGUAAAUUUAGAUUGCUAUUUUUCUAAAAUACCCUCACAUUAAAUAUGGUACAAUUUUAUGGGAACUUGAAUUGAUGGUAAAAAAAAAUUAACUCUCAUUAAAUGGGGUAGGUUUAUAGUACUACUUACAUUGAAUAAGGGUAUUUUAGGAAAAUUAAAAUACAAUUACAUUCUUCAAUUGAACAGUGGACUGCAAUUUGAAACAGAUGAAAAAGAAAUACAGGACUAUCAAAGUGGGACGGAGGGAGUAAUACAUUAAUACUUAUAGCUAUAAUUUCCUAAAUUAGAAAUCUUAUUGGAAUUCCUGAACCAAUUAGCCAACAGCAUAAUACGACCUCGUUUUAGUGUGUGAUUCUUUUAUAAGCCCACAGACAAAACUCAACUCAAAACCCUGCCCAAAAUCCACUUUCUUUCUGCUUUGCCACUACGUGACUGUGUGAGGGACAGAGGGAGAUGGGAAGUGAAGGAGAAAGAGAGCAAUUAAACCAUGCUUUAAUUGGAUACCUCAACACAGUUCAUGAAACUCUUCAGGUUUGCUUUACCUUUUUUUUUCUGGGUUUUCUUUGAAUUGGAAAAAAGCUUAUCUUUUUAUGCAUAUAUUUACUGGUAAUAUGGGAUGAAAAAAUUGUAGGUGUUGGAUCAAACAGCAGCCUCAUCUUCUGAAAAAGUCAGCUGGAAUGAGGUUAUUCAAAUGGGUGAACAGCUUUCCAAACAAGCCACUAUGGGUCUCCUUCUGUUGCUUAAUCUUUCAUCCCUCUUUUUUUCUUGCUGCAAUUGAAAGCUCGAAUUUUUACUUAAAUGGAUUCAUGCACAAAACUCAAAAAUGGAUGGAAAUUUGCUGUUUUGAGUUCUGAGAACUGGGAGUAAAUGAAUGAAUCUUUUUUCUGUUGAUGAAUAAAUGGCAGAAAUGCAAAAUAAAGGGAUGUAGUCUGCAACUUUUUGGUACUCGAAUUGUGCCUACUUAGCAUUCACUUUUGAUUGGUUUAUAGCUGUUGGUCCUUGGUGAUGAAAUUUUGGCAAAAUGAAGCCAUAAAUGGCUAAAUGAGUAAAUAACCAAUUCGAUGUUUGCAAGAGAUACAGAGAGAAAUGGAAAAAGACAGCGAGAAGAAAGAAAAAGAAAAUUUUUUUCCAUAUAAAGAUUACUGUUUAUCAUCAAUUUCUUUAGAAGGGUUCAAAAGCCAAAUUAUUUACCAUUAUUGAAUGAAUUCAGAGGAUUUCGUAAUGCAAAUUCUUGGUGGGUUUUCUUUGGUUUUUAUUUUUAUUUUUUAAUUUUUUUUGCACUAUUUUGUCAAAUAACAUAGUUUUUUCCAUUGAAGUACUGCAGAAUGUAUUGAGCUUAAGUUUUCUUGGUUUGAAAUGUAGUUGGAAUGCUUUGGAAUGGAGAAAAAGUGGAAGUGAAAGCCCUGGAGGAAAACAUGGCUGCAUACUUUAAUAUCCUUCAGGGUCUCCUUCUUCUCUCCCAUGGAAGUACUGUGGGAGCAGGGCCGACCCUUGCUUCCUGUAUUCAUGCAUCAGUAAAGCAAGUCGUUGACUGUAGUUUCGUGCUAAUGAAAGAGUCAGUCUCUUCAUAUGGUAUACUUCUUCUCUUAUUCAUUUUUCGCUUCAUACUUACUUUCUUUUCUGUUGCGAGUGCUCUUAACAUGUAUCGGUUGAGAGCAUGACUUUCACUUUCCAUAAGUUAGUUUUUGGUUGUUAAUGUUGUUUUUAUCAUUGUCUUUAUUGAUGUUAUACCAGUAUCUAUAAAAUCUAACGGAUUUAUGUUGUGUUUGAAAUCUAUAUUUCAUUGCGUUAAACAAAUUUCGCCUUCUUUUCUUGAGAAAGUUACAUGAAAAUUAUUAUAACAAAUCCAUCAUCAUGUGAACAUUAAAUGCACGCUAAAUUCGUGAACCUUGGGAUUCUCUUUUUGACAUUUAGUCGAGAAUCUUGAGAUUCAUAAAGUAACCGACCAAAAGAGCCAACCAACUGAUCAAGUGUUAAAGGGACAGAAACAAAAGCAAAGCCUAUUAAAUGUCCAUUCCACUAAUGAAACGAAUUUAGGCAUGACUAUUGUAGGUAUUGAAAAGAAUAUUCCGGAGCAGUAUUUUUCUUGAUUUUUGGGGCUUUUGUAUAGUUUGCUAAGAGUGAAAAUUUAUGUAUUAUGGGGCCGAUGAUUUCAAGGUUACUGCUAAGAAUGUCUUGCCUGUUUAUUUCGGGCCUCCGUAGUUGGGUGCCUGAAGUUAAUUGGCACAUUGGGCCAUGCUGCUUAAGUAAAUUGCUUCAAGAGAAAAAGGAAAAGUUCUAACCAAAUUGGCGACUGAAGUCUCUACUUUGAUACUUGAAAGCAUAUUACAUCAGUAGAGAAUGUCUAAAUGUUUUUUAAAUUUCAUGUAAUUAUGCUCUUGAGAAUUUUGUAUCUUUUGAUUAUAAGUUGCUGGAACUUUAAUUCAUUAACUACGUAUAAAAUAUCAUGAUAUGUAGGUGAUAGAUGUCUAGCCAUUGCAAGAAUAUAAAUCUAAAUUAUGGGUAGAAUUGUAUAUAAAAUACCUCUUCUUACCUGCCUUAAUGGUGUGGCAGCGGUGUAGAAUGGGAAAUAAAACCAUUGUACAAAAUUGUUGCCUUUUUCAAACAUUUGUAGCCAGUAAGCUCUCCCACGCUUUUGAGGAUUUAACUUUUCUAUUGUCUCAAAAUUCCAAUGUAUCUUGUCACCUCUAAUUUAAUUUUACCAAAUUCUCUGUCAUCCAUUGUUCUAUAAGUUGCCUCAAGUCAUUAUCCUGCGACGCUUAUGUGCCUCCCUGUUUGUCCUGAGAGUUUGGUUUCUUUGGAUUAAUGUACUUCUCUUCCAACUGAUAUAUGCAGGUUCUAGCAGUAAAACCCAAAAUCUAUCAAUUCCGCAGUUGGUAGGCACAGUCUGGGAAUCUUGUUCUGCUCUUAAGAAGACGCCUUCAACAAAUGUCACUGCAAUAGGGCGAGCAAUGACUCAGGUCACUGUCUCAAUCAAGGAUGUUCUUCGCGAAAUGAAGGAACUGAAGGCAGCUUCCUCCGAUCUGGAAGAGGAAUUCAAGGAUAAGGCUUCUGAGGAAGCAGAAAGCAAACCUGAGAGCGAUGAUUCAGAUGUGGAUGAUUUGGGCAAUGACCUUUCACCUGAAGAAAUGAAGAUUGCUCAGUUGUCUACUGUUGUUGUUUCUGAGACACUAGCUGUUGUAAACAAACUUAUUCGUGCCAUCAUAGGCUUGCUCAGGCAGGAAAACCAAGGAGCUUUUUCUAAUUCCACAGAUUCUCUGGAAAGACUAUUGAAGCUAAGCCAAGCUAUUGGAUCUCAGGUUGACGAGCUUGGAGCUUGUCUCUACCCCCCACAGGAAAUCCUUGUGAUGAAGGCUGCAUUGGAAAAAAUUUCUGCAGCUGUUGGUGAAAUUCAAAUAGAGUUGGAACGUAUUAAAGGCUCUUCAGAAGAUUUUGUUCAAGCGUGCACAAAUUUGAAGAGCCUGAUAAGACAGCUAGAAUCUGAAUUGGGAUGCUCUAAUGCAAAUGAUUUGUUAGUUCCUAAAAUGGAGAACCUCGUUGUUAAUAGCUAGUCAUGCCUUGCUACAAGCCUGUUGGUUGAGACUCACACCCAGAGUUAAUGAACUUCUAUCUGCAUAUUCACUGGAAAUCUUCUCUGGGCACUGAUGCUGUACAUAAACGAAAGUUGUGAACUUGGACCAAACGACUGUUUCAAGAGGGAUAAAGAAGAGGAGCUAUUAUGCAAGCAAUGCGAGGAAGAUGAUCUCUCUCUUUUCUCUUCUUUUAUUUUUGUCAUAGACCAUUAGACGAAUGAGCUUGAAUUUGUCUAGCAGCAGACUGAGGUUCACAAAAAUUGGAGGUUGUACAUGCAGGCCACAUUCAUGCUUCCUGUAUUUUGGUGUAUGAGGGUCUUUUUAGCAUUGUAACAGAAUCACUCUUGAUGAAGAUUGCAAGAACACUUUCCUCAGCAGGAGAGGGGAGGCGGGGGUUCCGGGGGCUUUGCAUUAGCAUCGUAAUUGGGAAGGAAAAGAGGUUCAUUUCUCAACAAGGAAAGAGGAACUGAAAACGUAAAAUUGAAAUCAAACCAGAACAGAAAUAUAAAGUAUAAAACAUUUCAUUAUUGAGUUUUGUUCAUCCAGGAUCCAAUUUGCACUACCAUCGUCCAGGCCAAGUUUUGAAGCUACAAUAUGUCAUUUACAUCGGGAUCAAAACACUUAAAAUAGACUCCAUAUGAACAUCUACCAUAAGAAUCUUCUACAAGAAAAGCAAAGAUUUAAGCUUCCAUUUUUUUCUUUUUGGGGUGUAAUCAUCACCUUAACUCACAUAAUAGACAUUAGAAAGCAACUCUAUGACAUGUAUCCCUACCCAGACAAAACAGAAUUUGCAGUACAUAUCUAGUGAUGCACAACAUGAAGGCUGUGAUUAUGAGCUUUAAGAUCUGGUAGUAUUUGCUGGAGCAUAUGGAACUUAUCCAUUACUGCCUGAGGUUUAAGUUAUUUCCCUGUAAGCUUUACCAUCCAUGCACCACCCAGAUAAAGGCCCAGAAGGGGGCCGGCCAGAAGUAGUUGAGUUAGUGGAUCUGUAGAAGGUGUUAGUACAGCAGCUGCAACUACAGCUCCUACCACGACGUAUCUCCAGAUUGACAGCAUUUGAUCUCCUGAUACUAAACCAACCUGUCCCAGCAACAGUUGUAUAACUGGAACCUGAGAAAAAGAAAAUGGAAACAAAUCAACUAGCUGAAAAUAGAUCCAAUUUCACUUUAACAGCACUUAGUUUGCUUUGCGAUGAGGAUUCAAUAUAGCAAUAAGAAGUCUCUAACAAUCCAACAAUAGAACUCCAGAUUCUAAACAUCAACAUAGAUGUAAUAGAGGGUGAUAGCAGACAAAAUCAUAUGACAGUACACAAAACAAGCAAAAUUGGAAUAGCAAACAUGGAGAAACUGGUACCAAAGUAAGAUACAGACGGAUACUUUGUUCCCCAAAAUUUGGAUCCACAAAAAUAAUGAAACUACUGCAUUCACACUUGGAUCCAGAAAAUCUCAUACAUAAAAGAAUAGUAACUGAGAAGACAAUUUUACCUGGAAUGACAACCCCGUGCUGAACAUGAGCACAAGCACAAAUUCAAAGUACUGAUCAAUAGACCAUAGUGAUUCUACGACUCCUUCAGCAUAAUUAAUAAAGAAAUUCAAAGCAGCUGGAGUGAGAACGAAGUAGGAGAAGGCAAUGCCAGAAUAGAAUAGAACUGAGGAUCCAAGGACAAUUGGGCCUAGAAAUCUUCUUUCAGCCCGUGUUAGGCCUGGAAGAAUGAAGGCAAUGAUCUCAUAGAGAAUUACAGGGCUUCCUAAGAGAAUGCCACAAUACCCUGAUACCUACACCACAGACAAAGCAGUUAUUUCUUGAAUACAUGAUUUAUGAUCCCGCAUGUCAAAAGGCCACAAAUGCCGAAUUCCAGGAAAUUCGAAGUAAACAAGCCAUGAUCUUUGAAACUAGUAGUGAACCAAUUGAAAAAAAAAAUCUCAACAGCAGAAGAAAAGAAUAUUUAUGCAAAGUCAAACAAAUACAGCUGAUAGCUUCCCAUCCAAAUAAGCCCUUUUCAUGGGUUCCAAUAUGCAUGACCUCACAUAAUAAAAUAUAGGACCUAGACCACUUUUGAAGUCGGAAUAUUGGAUAUUCCAGAAUAACACACACUGUCACAUUGCAUCAGGGAAGAAUUUGUGCGGAGAUAAAUUAAGAUGUUUAAACAGAAGAACUCGAUCUGUAUAAAAAAGGACACACAAAAAGCUGCCCAUCAUAUCAUUUUAUCAAUUACCAAAUUCAUGUAUGCACUGUCCAUGAGAAAUUGUACAGAAUUUCCUUAGCAUGAUAAGAAGAAAAGAAUUCCACAAUUGAUUCAACGUGUAGGCAAAUAUGGACACAGCCAAUCAAUGUUCUUUUUUACAGCAACUCCUUUUUUUUUUUUGUGGCAAAUAAAAUAUCCUAGGAAACUAAAAAUAUAUUUGAUCCAAGCAUCUUGGCAAGCAAUUGAGUAAAUCAGUCACCAAAUUAAACAUGUUUAGACCUUAUAACUGAUAUGACACUUAGUUACAAGAAGUGAAACAUGAUAAUGAGAAUGAGUAAAAUAUACAGAAGUAACAUAAUAUUCCAACCUUUAAUGUAGUGAAGAAGAAUUCGCCAGGACCUAAUUGUAGAAACCGAACACCCUGUGAUCUAACAGGAGCUUCAAGAAGCAUUAUGAGUUCCUUUGAAUAAGCAAAACAUCCUAAGAUAGCAGCUCCUACCGCGGAUACUGACACAAAUAUUCUCCCACGCAGUUCCUCCAAAUGAUCAAAUAUGCUCAUUUCUUUAUCAUCUGGGAGGAGUUCUUUACUUGGAUAAAGAAAAUUGUAAAGAGCACUUCCUUCAUCACCAGCUUCGUCAUUCUGAAAUAAAUUUUCUCCUGAGCCACUAGCAACAUCUACAAUUUUAUAAACAAUUUUAGAACCCAAUCCUUAAAAGGUAAAUUUCCACUUUAAAGUAUAGUUGAUCAAACCCCUAAUGUAGGAAAAAAAUGUAGAAAUUGAAAAUAGAAAAUUUUAAAGUAAGAAAAACAGAAAACAGAAACAACAAUUUAAACCAAGUCUCCAUGUAAAAUGGAAAAAUUCGACAAUAGAAUUUCUUACCACCUUCCAAAAAACUAAAGUGCAUUAUGGCAAAAGUAAAUUCCCUUGGGAGUCACAGCAGCCAAGAUGAAUAAAGAUAUAGACACAAAAGCAAAACAAAAUGGAAUUUUGAUAUGGACUGAAUAGAACUGUAUGUAUUUGCUUGAAAGGUUUUUGACAGCUAGAUAGCCAAAACCAACAGUUCAAACUCGAAGAAAGUCAUCCCAAGAAUGUGUUUCAUAUCGUGUAUAAUGAUCCAUUGAACAUAUUAGGUUGAACGCUACUGAUAACAACUAAAUAAGCAAUAAAUCAAAAUGACAAAAAGAAGCAAUACACACUUAACCAACAAGGUGUAGCCAAAUUUUACUUUUAUUGAAUUAAUGUGAUCAUGUUAUCGUUAUAGUUUUACAUUUUGAGUGAAGGAGAGAUUGACUUGUCCUGCAGAACACAUGCAGCACCAAGAUCAGUACAAAGCUACUGCCCACUCUAAAAUUCAAGAGGGAAGAAGCCUAAGAUUUUCCUUUUUAUUGAUUCAGAGUUUUCAAAGGGCCAGCAAACAAUAUACAACUGUCCUCUUCCUGCUUCAUUUUGGUGGGACUAAAAUGUUUUUACAGCUAUAAAAGAUACUUGCAGGACCAAGGACUAACAAAUCAAAACCAUUGAGGAAGCAAGGGAUUCCACCAUAAAACAAAAUAUAAAAGACAAGCAAUCAGAUAUCAAAAUUUUCAAGCAAACCAAGGGUAAAGGCAAAACACUAAUUUUACAUGGUAAAGAUAUAAUAUUAUAGCAAUACAGGAAUCAAUUCUAUUUCUCUUCCUAUUGCACUUUUACAGGUACGAUUUGUAGGAUUAUAGAAAUCAGUGUAGUUUCCAUGGCCAGCUACGGUUUUUUCUUUCCUCAUGGGUUGAGUGCACCGCUAGUUUAGCAAUUUUUUUGGGUUCUCCCUCCAGUGAAAAGACUGAGAUCUUUUCUUUUACUUUAGCUAUCACUUGGCAGCUGGACUCAGUGUAGAAACUUGCUUAAAUUUGAAGGUCAAAUCUCAGACUGUCAGGUGUAAAUAAAAUCUUCAGCAAUCGGUUGACUAAAGAACCAAGGGAAUCUUGUUUAUUACCAUAUUUUACUGGUUGGUAGUCCCUAUAUAAUUUGGAAUCAACAAAUAACCUGUGGGCUUAGGCAUUACCCACAUUCCACUAAAUGUUAACUCUAAUUGACAUUCAAUAGCCUUUUGUCAUAGAGAGGCAAGAUGUCAACUCAAUUGAUGGAAAAAUGAGCAUUCUUGUUGGAGAAAAGGUGAAAAGAUUCCUAACUAGUGUUAUCUCCUAACAUUACUGUUAUUCUCUCUUUCCAACAUUAAACUCAGGGGAAGGCAUAGGACUGGUGGCAUGCAUAGCCCCUUCAAUGAAGCAAGAGGUCUGGUCUCAUGACCUCUAAAUUUGCACCAAAUAUUACUGAAAUUUGAAAACAUCCCUAGGAUCUUCUCUUCUAAUUGCUACCAACAAGAAAUAGCUAAUUUAUGAUCCAUGCCCUCUUCAAGUAGCCAUAAAUUUUAUCAGCCAAAAUAGAUGAUUCUAUAAAUUGAUGAGGAACUCAAAUCAAGCAUGUGCGAGUGUAAGAAAAGGCCUGCCUAUCAAAUCAGCUAGCAGUUAGCUUCAUGGGCACAACGCAAUUAGUAACAGCCAAAAAAAACCUAAAUUUAAUCAGAGAACCACAAGUAAGACAGGGGUGGAUAAUGAACGUUUUGGUUCUUCAUAGAUAUAGCAAAAAGUACUCAAAUGUAAAAUAAGGAAGAACCACACAUAGAACAGGGGUGGAAGAAUGAAUUUCUCAUAAUAGGUAGGAUCAGCUGCAAAUGCAGUUCCUGAUGUUCCUUCCCAAAAUGCACUGUAGCUCAUCUUUUUCUAGCAUUAAUAUAACCACUAUAGUCACAAAAAUUCAGCAUUGACCCUGAUGUUUUAUUUCUCAUUCAAUCUACACCGAUAUUAUAAACUAAAAUCAAAUUUAUAACACAUAUUAACAAACUUAAUUCCAUAAAGCUAAAGCAGAGUAUCACAGGUUAAAGCUAAAUUCUUUCUGCAAAAGAAGUAAAACUAAGAGUCACCACACGACUUAGCUAAACCGAAAAAACCAAAAUUUAAAUUAAACAAUGAUAUUACAUUAGCAAGAUAUAACACUCACCACCAUCAAUGACCCCUUUAAGCAAUUAAUAACAAUGAAAAAAAUCAAUUAUUUCCUCGAACAGAGCAGAAAACUUAAUGCAAUUAACAAUUUCAUCGAAUUAUGCAAAAACAGAACUUUAUUGGGCAUAGUUUUACCAGGCUUUUCUUCAACAGCAGAACCAACAGCACUCUUGAAUUCUUCUUCUUGUUGCUUUUCAGUGACAUCUUCUUCAACAGCACAGCAAACAACUCUGCUGAAUUUCUUGCACUCUUUUCUACUGAAAAAUUUCAACUUGGAUGCUCUUCUUUGGUUAGUAACAAGCAAAGAAGUUCUUGAUAUUUUAUUUGAAUAAUUUAAACAUCUGAAGUAAUUUGAGCUGUUGAGGUGAAGAUUAUGGAUGAGAGCAGCACUUGCACUUGUGCUCCCCAUUUUUAAAUUGAUUCCAGAUUUCUCUUCUGGAUCCAAAAUGGCUUGUGGGUUUUCAAGGAAAAAAUUGGAAAUUUUGUUUGGGUGGGUGGAAAUGUGGAUGCUUGGUGUUCAUGAGGCUCGGGAAGGAUAUUUAGAUCGUGGCGCACCCUAGAGAAAUACACUAGGAUUUUUCUGAUGUGCGCUUUUUUGUCUUGUUCUGUCCUUUUAUUUGUAUUAUUAUUAUUUUUUGGUUCCUGGGGGCAGAAAUUGUGAAUGUAAAAAUCAACGUGAAUAAGAAAUUCGGAUUCAAAUGAAAAUAGCAAAGCUUAAAUGUGACAUGGACCUGAGACUUAAUUUGUGACCCUCUCAACUUUAUCUCGAAUUUAAAUGAAAAUAGCAUGCUUUAGUUGGACAAUCAUCUUUUCAUUAUCUAAUUAUUUUUUAUAUUUAUACAAUUAAAAUAUUUCACAAUGAUCUUUUUGUGUCAAUAAUUUUAUUUCCACAAGUAGAUCAAUAUACUCAAAAAUCAAGUUCAUCUAUAAAUGUUUUUGUAAUUCAAUUUGUACAAAAUAUUUUGUCGGUGCAAAAUGGGUUAAAAUUAUGAGAAAGUUGUAAAGUUUGAGCCAACGGUAAAAUUUAAUCAAUUUAAUUUCAAUUUUUGUGUAUACUUUAAACAACAUGAGAAAUAUAAUGUGGAUAGUUUUGAUUUUUAAAAAUAAUACUAUAAUUAUAUUUAUUUAGGUGUAAAAGAGAGAAAAUCAUCUCCAAUCAAUGGAUAGCAGCCUAACUCAAAGAAGGUAUAAAAUCACAUUCACUCUCUAUAUUUUCUCAAUUUAAUUUAAUUUAAUUUUUUUGAGAUUCAAAUCCAUCUUAAUGACUAAUGAAUGUACACUAGAUAUCCAUCAAACACACACCAUUACUAUACCAUUUAGCCAAACAAAAAAAAUGAUUGAUUUAAAAUUUUCUUUAUACCUUUAAUUCUCUUCUAUUUAAUAAUAAAAACGUGGAUGAAAGUUCUAUAGACACCAUUUGGCUUUUUAUUUUUAUUUUAUCUUUUAAGUUGCUGAUAGGUUGUAAUUUUAUCAUUUAUUUUAUAAUUAAUUUCCCCUAUUACUUAAUCCAAUGUGAAUUAAUUAUUAGAUUCUACUCACUUUUCGUAAUUUACAUUUAUUUCAAGGAGUAGAAUAAAAAUGUCACAAUCAAGGCCAAUUUGACGAUCAUCGGGAAAGAGUUCAAAUAGCAGGCAAUCAAGGGCAUUCUUGGAACAAGGAGAUGCAUGACCAUUUUGGUAAUUUUGUUCGAAGACAGCAACUAGAAAAAGGGAAAAGAAAGCAAACCUCAGAGUCUUCUUUUUCUCUGGUGCGGCGGACGCCGCACAGGAGGAGUAGCAAUUAGAAUAGGAAUUAAGAUUGCAGGAGGAGAGCACUAUCCUCGGGUCUUCUUUAGUUUUUUCGUCUUGUAGUAUAGCUUUGAGCUUUUGACUUUUCUUUUGGUUAGUAGUAGUUCCUUUCCCCUGCGUAUGUCAGGAAGAAUUAGUAAGGGAAAUUUGUCAAAUUGGUCCCUAACAUUUUCCAAAAACACUUUUUUAGUCCAUAACAUAUAAAAUCAGCCAAAAUGAUCCUUCACAUUUAAAUUAUGAGCCAAUGUGGUCCUAUUGCUCGUUUUUGCUCAUUUCUCCGACUAAAAAUAGCACGCCCCCCUCAAGUGGUCAUUUUUUUAGGGGCAAAACCGGAAAACACAUUUCAUUACCGGUUGAAAGAAGCCAUCUUUCCUUCAUCUAAUCACCUCACUAAUCCUUAGAAAUUGAAGAGGGAAAAUACAGUAGCAAGAAAUUGGGAAGAAGAAGCUGACCUUUGAAGAGUAAAAUGGAUCCAAACGAGCGAUGUCUUUGUGGAAAGGAACCCAUCAUUGUGACUUCUUGGAAGCCUGCAAAUCCGGGGAGAAGAUUCUAUGGUUGUCCAAAUUAUGGAGUAAAUUUUCUUGAAAUUUCAGGUCAGUUUGGGUUUGGGAUGUGGGGUUAAAAUUUGGUCUUGAUAUCUGAUGUUCUUCGUGCAUUUUAGGUAACUCGGGCUUGUGGCUACUUCAAGUGGUGUGACCCGCCAAUGUGUAGUAGAUCUGUGUCAAUAAUACCUGGCCUAUUAAGAUCAAUCAACCGACUACAAGCUGAUCAAGAACAGAGAAUCCGAAGAGAGAAAUUGCUUUGGGCUGCUUUGGUUGCCUCUUGGAUGUGCACUUUGCUGUUGUUAAUAAGUUGGAAUUAAACAAAAAUUGGAAGAUAGUUAUUGGUGGGUCUAACAUGUUGUUUUAAUUCUGUCUGGGUUUAUCGGAGGAUGUGAAUCUGAGAGCAUGUAGCAGCAUCCAAAAUAUGAGGAGGCUUUGUUGUACCUGCUGCACUUUUGUUAAUGGUUGUGUAAUAGUAACAGCAGCACUUUUGGCAAUUAUUGUGUAAUAGGAAAGGCUCAUGUUUGUACCAUUAACAAUUAUGAAUGCAAAGCUGCUUUUUGGUCAAUUGAUUGUCGAAAAGGGAAAUUUGCUAAUGUAAAAGUGAAGAUGAUGAAUGACCAUGUCUCUUAACAUUGAAUUUGAAGACAAUAAGCUGCAGAUACACUCAAAUUUAAACAUCAACAAUUGAUAAGAAUGGAUGUAAAAAAACUGAAAAUUUGUCGUUAAGACUGAGAAUCAAUCCCUUCGAUAAUUAAGGUGCCUUUUGCUCCAUUUACUACUGCGCAUUGCAAAUGUAAUUCUGUGUAUAACUCUGUUCAGAGAUUUCUUUAGUAACUUGUUGCUCAUGACUAACAAUUUCACAGGAACAAAUAUAAAAUUCCAGAAACUGAAAAUUCAAAACCUACAAGAUAUUGUUAAUGAAAAUUUACUUGCUUUAGACUAGCCAAGAACAUAAUUAUACCUGUCCAAAAUACUUAAUAGAGGGAAAAGAAACUUGGCCAAACUCAGUUCCACAAAAGAUGAGAAGCCAAGAUGCUUUUUACAGAAGUGCCAAAAACUAACAGCAAAAUAUUUAUAGCAAAAACUAACAGCCAAGAUGCUCUUUACAGCAGUGCUAAAGUCUCAGCUCAAGUCGUAAUACAUGAACUAUAAUAUCCCAAAAGCAAAAUACAACAUAAAAGUUGAAACUAAAGCCACCAAAAGAUGCUUAAACAAGCCACCAGCACUUCAAUUUUUCUUUUACUUUUCACUGAUCUUUGAAGAUUCAUGUGCCUGCCCUCGAGAAAGCUCUGCAACAGUGGAAGUGCACCUGCCUUUGGUGUGACCAUAUUGGUGGCAGAUAGAGCACUUGUACUUCCCAAUAUUCUCCAUCUUGACAAUUUUAACGAAGGCUUGUUAGAUAACAUAAAGGUAAAAUAUGAGUAUUUGACAAGCAAAUGAUGUUUAUGAUACUCACUGGAGUAUUUGCAGGAGUAGAAUGGUUUGAUGUAGAUUGUUGACUUCCCAAUGGUGCAUCUGCCAUGAGAUCCUCAGACAUCUGAGUAUUUGACGUAGGAACUGGAGGUGUAGGUGUAACAAAUCCAUGUGAAUCAGUCUCAGCAGAGGCAUUUUGUGUCUGGCUUGGACACUUCCUACUAUUGUGGCCAGUCUUGUUACAUUUUCGACACUUAUACACCAUCUGCCCAGUUCUAGACAGCUUUUGCUGCUGCUUAUUUUGCUUUUUACCUGAUGCUGGUUCAUCUGGCUCCCUUCGUCUAGCCUUUCGUGGUCUACCAGGAAGUUUUAUGUUCUCAGGAGAUAGCACGGGCGGCAUGUCAGAAUUUUUCCACAUGUGCUCAGCAUUCAUUGGACUUAUCAUGGGUUCAUAUGCCCUCAUGUAAGCUUCUUUGGAGUAGCAAUUAUGUACAAACUUCUCGGGUUCCUCUCCAGUGUCACAAAUUGCAGCAAUGGCAUGUGCACAAGGAAUGCCAUUAAGAUCCCACUUUCUACAACUAUAACAUCUACUAAUAAGGUCCACAGUAUACCUAUCACCAUACAUGCACCUAACUUCAAAUUUCCAGUCCUUGGAGUGGCUAGGAAUGCAGUCAUUUGCAGCAAGCUUAUUUUUCUCCAACUUUUUCAGAAUUUUAGGACAUAUCUCCCCAGUGUAUUUCUUUAUCCAUUCUCUCUUUUUUUCUAUCCUAACCAUUAAGUAAAAUCUAAUGGUCUCCAACAUGUCAAGAAUUGGUUUCUGCCUAGCAUCAAGGAUUGUGGAGUUAAAACUUUCGCACAGAUUAUUCAACAAAAUAUCACAUUUUACACUUGUUCUAAAAUGUGAUCUUGUCCACUCCUUUGGAUAAGUAUGACUUACCAACCAAUUGUAAGCACCUUCAUCAACCUCUUUUAGUGACUCCAUCAAUCCAGCAAAUCUGUCCCUAUAAGAAGCUCGUGCUGCAACCCAUAUCCUUUCCUUGAGAGCUAGGUCUGGAUGUUAUUUUUUGAAAUUAUUAUACAUGUGCCGUACACACAUGCGAUGCUCAGCCCCUGGCAGUACCUCUUGAAUAGCUUGAAUUAGCCCCUGUAUAAAUGAAAUAAAAAAUCAAACAUAUAUUACUGUCACUAAGUAUUAUCAUAACAACAAUUGAAGAUAAAAUUAGUUAUAUAUUACCUUUUGCUUGUCGGUUAUAAAUGUCCAAAUGCUUUCAUCAAUAAUUUCAAGGUCACCCUUUAGCUCUUCUACAAACCAUUUCCAAGAGUUCUUAUUUUCAGUCUCAACUAGAGCAUGUACUAUCGGAAAUAGUUGAUCAUUUGGAUCAAUACCAACGGCUGUGAGAAGAACUCCCUUGUGACAGCCUCUUAAGUGACAUCCAUCAAGACCUACAACAUAUCUACAACCCUGCAAGAACCCUCUUUUACAACCAUCUAGACACACAUAGAAUCUCUGAAACUCAUCAUCACCUUCAUUAUUCUCAGUUGUAGUCAUGAACACAUUAGAGUCAGGAUUUGCCUUUUGAAGUUCUUCACAGUAGCUCCAAAGUUUGCUGUAUUGGGACAUGACAUCACCAUGUAUCAUCCCUUUAGCUUUUGCCCUUACCUUAUACCCCACAUUAGGUGUGAUACUAACUCCCAAGUCCUUGUAGACCUUUAUCAUAAAAUCACCUACAUUAAAAUUUGGGUUCAGCCUAAUGUCCUCCAAAUACUUGUUGGCCAAAUAUGUCACACUGGCCAGGCCAUGAUAGGUUGUCCUACCACAAGUGUGAGUCAGCAGCAUGCUUUUGAUUUGGAAUGUCACUUUAUCACUCCUAACUGAGCAAUAUAUGUUCCACAUGCAUCUCUUGCCUCUACAUAUAGCUUUGCAUCUGUUUGAAUCAUUUUUCUUAAACCUGAUUUUUCUUCCAUACUUCACUCCAUGUGAUUUUGCAGCAUUGAUAAAGUCAGUCUUACACUUAAAUAACAACCCAAGUUCAAACUUUGGGUCAUCCAUCUCUGUUGCAGGAUUGAAUACUCUAAACUUCUUUUUGUCCACAUCAUUACUCCCUCCUUCAUCUUCAGAACUCUCAUUGCUGUGCAGCCCAUCAUGUGAUGAAUUAUCUGACUCCUCCAUGCUGCACUCAUUAUCUUCUUCAUUAACAGCAGUUUCUUGUACCUUUUCUUUACCUUUUUUUGCUGUCUUGAACUGUUUAGCAACAUUAGCCCAAUCUGGAGGUAUUUCACUAAUAGAUUUCAUUAGCUCUUCCUCAUCACUUAUAACAUAUUCGCUAUCAUACAAACUCUCGGGAUCACUUGAGACAAUAUCUUUUAUGAUCUGCUCCUUAUUUUUUUUGAAUGACUUUUUACCUUCAGCCUUUCUAUUUGAUGUCUUCCUUGACUUAGUUCGUGCUCUUCUUCCUUGUAUGCUACUGCCAUGUCUUUCAUUUUCAUUACCAUCAAUUUCUGUAGCUCCAUCAGUUGCAUGUUCACCUACAUCAGUUUCUACAGCCUCAGUAGUCUCAUAUUCAGCAGCAUCAGGAGUUUCAUCAUCAACAGUAUGACUUUUUGUAGUUCCUCCACUCUCAUGUUCAGCAGCAUGAGAUGCACUUUGGUAUGAUCCACUCCUGCCACUAACACCACUCUGUGCAGUAACAUGUUGAUGGCCAACAUCCUUUCUCCUCUGCUGCAUUUUCAAUCUUUUUGCAGGUGAAGUUCUCUUCUUCGCAAUCUGUUUCAUCCUCUUACUAGUACGUGAAGGAGUUCCUCCAUCCAUGUUAAAGUCUUGAAAACCACCAUCAGUAGCUGGUGUUGGUGUGGCCACAUGUACAGAUUCUUCUUGAACAUUCUCUGGUGUGGCCACAUGUACAGAUUCUUCAUUAUUUCUGUUACUAUCAUGCCUUCUUCCUUCUUCAUCAACAGCAAAAUGAGGCAAAUUAUAUGUUCUUCGAUGAAUGAAGAACACAUCAACUAACCCAUACAUACUCCCUAAUUUAGCCAAUUCAGCAGCAUCAUCCUCUUGCAACACAUACACUAAUCCAUCUGCCAUAUUCCUACCAGGAAUCAGGUAGUAGUAACCCACUGUAUAAGGCUCAAAUCCAAGUUUAUUAGCUACUUCGUCCAACUUACACAGAGACCAUUUUUCUAGAUUACAACCAUCGACUAUGUCAACCGAACCCCCUACAUAGUCUCUAUUUCCUGUAUCUCUAAGUUCACCUCCAAAGUGUAUACGAAUAGAAAAAUGCAUCUCAUUGGCCCCUGUCAGCCAUUAAAACGACAAUUACUUUGGACCAUUACAGAAAGGUGGAGCCUUUCAUAAUAAAAAUAGGGACCACAGCAAAACUAAAUAAAAAUUGGGGACCACAGCAAAACUAAGUAAAAUAAUGAACAAUCUUCAAUUAAUUAACAUAAAAUACAGUUCUAAGCAAGAUUCGUCAACAAUUUUUAACCACAUUGGUAAAAAAAAAAACUUACCGUAACCCUUUGUGAAGUCCCAUUUUCCCGAUUCAUUCUGCAUCUUUUCGAAAAUUUUCUUCACGAUUUUCUGGCCAAACCUUCAAUCUUUUCUCAAUCACACCUUACAGGUUUGUCGUCGUCAUCAUCGGCAGUACAUUUCCAUGUUAUGCUUGUUAAUUUGGGGAUGCAAUUAGGGUUUCUUCGAACUGUAAUUUGAGUGCCAAAGGUGAAAUGUGUAUUUUGCUAGUGGUCCCCUAUCCUUUUACCUUCAACCGGUAAUGAAAUGUGUUUUUCGAUUUUGCCCCUAAAAAAAUGACCACGUGAGGGGGGCGUGCUAUUUUUAGCCGGAGAAAUUAGCAAAAACGAGCAAUAGGACCAUAUUGGCUCAUAAUUUAAAUGUGAAGGAUCACUUUGGCUGAUUUUAUAUGUUAGGGACUAAAAAAGUAUUUUUGGAAAAUGUUAGGGACCAAUUUGGCAAAUUUUCCAAUUAGUAACAAGCAAUCACCUUUUGUAGCUUCGUUUUCCUUUCCUGAAGCGAAUUGGACUUUUCCAAGACGCAGACCAUGGCCGCGACUCUUGUUUUUAUUUCCUGUGGAUUUUGUUCAUUAACUAUGAACUAAAUUCCUUUUUCUAGUCAAGGAGCAACGGAUGCUUUGGGUCGCCUAAAAUUGUGAGAUCGAUUUAAUUUAAUCUUUUUCUUUUAUUUAUUGGUAUUCGCAUAUUCCAUCACUAAGACAAUCUGUAGCUUUUCAAAUUACAAGAAAGAAAAUGUGUACACUCUCAUGCUUGCAUGGACACUGGGUGGAUAAAGUGUGUCAUGUGAUUAAUGAAAGAGUUUGUCAAAAUCAUAAACCACCAAAAGAAAAUCUCAUCAGCAGAGGCAGCAAAAUUCAAAUUGAAGAAAUGAAGAUGAUUAGACCUUUCCUGCAUCCUAAUCAAAACUCAAAAGGUUCUCUACAUGGAUUAACUGUGAUGGCUGCUGACCUAGGAGAAAGCAUUUACAGUUUGUAAUAGUGAGGUAUUUACAAUAUGGUUGAAUAUCAACUGAAGAGAAGGAACCAAAGAAUGAGACGAGACAACAAAAAUGAACUAUUCCUGCUUUGUCCUCAUUGUUCGAUGUAAUACCCAGGUCCAUGCGUUCAAGAAUAUCAAAAGGCCAAUACCAAACGCUGUCCAAAAAGUUACCAACCACUUUGGCAUGGGAUUGGGGAAUAAUCCUGGAGAGCACAACAGCCACAAUAGGGAAAAGGAUUUAUCAGUUGCAACGUAGUCAAACAAAUCAUUCAUUCUAGAAUGAGCUUAGAGUAGAGGAUACAGGGGGAAAAAAAGCAAGAGAAAUGGUCAGACUAGGAAAGCAAACAAACCAUGUCCAAACUUGAUACAGAUGAGGAGUUCAACAAUGCAGAUGGCCACGGAGAGCCAACAAAAGGAGCCCACCUUUUUCACUGGUUUUCUGAAAAAUCAUUAUACCAUUCAUUCAAGCAUCGUGUGGAGAGAGAGAGAGAGAGAGAGACAUGAUAGAUACUAUCCAAUAGAGAGAAAUAGUACAUGGUUUGUGAUUGGCAAAAGAUGGGGCAGAAAGCAAUGGAGUACCUGUCCUGUAAGUAAGAAUUGUACUCCCGAAUGGUUGGUAAUGCAAUAAGCCACCACAAAAUCAACCUAUAAAUUACAAGGGGGUUUCGUGGAGGUAUCCAAAGGCAAAACUUUAGGAAAAAUGUAUUCAGCUCCACUGUCAAAAACACAACGCAAAGACUCAGAACUUGAAUAAAACGCCAAGGUCCAAGAAGUGGGUGCCAUUCAUCUUUGUCCCACUGUGCGGGUGUAAAUUGACCCAGCGUCCGUUUGACCUGGUAAGUCCCGUAAAAGUUAUACGCAUAACAAUCAGAAAUAACAACUGCACUUCUGCCCAAAGGCCAAAAAAAAAAAGGCAAGCACAAACGGUAGACAACAGCGGCUCCUCAAAAGUGUUUCACUAACAAUCCAAAAAGUAGAUUGAUUGUAGAAGAGUAAACCCAUAUCAAAGUCGAAGAACAUAUCAAAUUCCAGAAAAUAUAGUACGAAAUCCACAAAAUUGUGGAGCAGGGACAUGGUCCACAAUACUGCAGUAAUACUAGACCAAGAAUAAAAUUAACUCUUUUGUUCUGCUGUUAGAAGCUGCAGUGAUAAUAGACUAACAAUUGAAUGAACUCUUAAUUGUGCAGCAGAACAUUGAAAAUCAAUUGAUAGCACAAAGAAAUAGAGAGAGAGAAGGAGAGAGAGCAGGAAGAGGAAGGCUCCAAUGAUCUUCAAUGUAUGUGUAAAUUUCCACCCUUAAUUAAGUUUUUGCUCGAAAGCAAAAUUAUUUUCACUCUGUUUAUAUAGAUUUGGGACAUGUCAAUGGACAUAUAUGAUGUCUAUGUAUUUUUAUAGAUCACCUGUGCAAGCACUCCAAAUACAUUCAGAAGGAAAUAUCAAAUCAUAACAGAACAGACCUACUACGUGUAAAAAAGGAAGACAGAAACACCAAGAAAUCAUUGACACUUGGCAAUUAAAUUUCAUUGAUACAAAAACCAAAUGAUGUAAUUUGAAUGAUGCAAUUGAAGGAGGUACCAUGAGAAACAUACAUUGGAAAGGGAAUUAUGACAAACAGAGGUGAAUGUCCAGAACUAUCAGAACCUUCCAACAAGCUGAUAGUCUUCUGCUUUUCGAUUCCUAAAUUUAAUUACAAUGUUCAUAAAAUUCUAACUACAAACCGAUACAAAUUCUCCAAUCACUAACCAUCAUGGUUUUGUCUAUAGAAAAAAGCUUAAUUUUCCUUCACUUGUAAUUGUUCAACAAAAGAGGAAAUCAAGAAGCUUAGACAACACAAAGUCCAAAGAGUAAAAGAUAUCUGCUGAAGAAGGCAAGUUAUGGAGCAUACGCUUUUAUCAAAAGCGAGAGAGAAUGCAACAGAAGGUUAUACUCAUAGGCUAGAGAAAUUUAUGUCUUGGUAACAAAAGGAAAUUUCAGAAAUUUAUACCUUAGGUCGGAUACCAGAAAAGAGAUGAAAAGAUCUGAUGGCCAACAGAAGUGUAUAAAACAAUCUCAAAGCACAGAGAAGUAAAAGUAAGUGGAGUGAAACACAUACUUUGCCCAUGAUAUUUGGCUGCCGACUUAUGCCAACCCAUUCAUAUGUCCUACCAUCAAAGUACCGUACAGUGCGCAUUCCUGCCCAGAUUCCUAAAGAACAAAGCAAUAACACAAACAAGAAAGUCACUUUCAACUAACCAACAAAUGACCUGAAAAUAGCAGGAAAAGGAAAUCGACUAUACAAUUAUAGGAAAGCAUUCAAAAAAUGACAUCCUUUUUCCCAAAACGAGGAUCUGUUACUCUUUAUCAAAUAACAUCAGACGUUAAUAUGGCUGCACCCAUCAAUUUUUCACUGUUGAAAAUUUUCAAGAGGAAGAUGCUUCAUUAUUCCCCUUGUUCUCUACUUGACAAUAUGGUGCACACCUUAACUUAGCUAGAAUUACAUUUUUUAAGUCAUAGCUAAAUUAUGUGAAGAAAACAUAAUCAAAAAACUUUAAAUGGAAAGCUAUACAAUUUCAACUCCCAAAAAUAUCAACAAAGCCAAAACAUAAGUUUCACUUUGAAAUGAAAGGUAAUGAACAUUUUCCUCAGCACCUUCAACAAACUUUUCUGCUAGAACUUUUUAACAUGAGAUUCCAAACUAUCUGCCCAAGCAUUAACUCAUCUCCUACCACAGUCUUUCUCAACAGAGUGAUCGAUAGCUCACAAUCACUUACAAUAGGAUACACAAUUGUAACAAUCAGAGGAAUGCCAUCUCAAGCCUUGCAAGGAAAAAAUAAUAAUAAAUUAUUCAUGUUGCAUGCGUCCUAAUACGCUGACCAUCUUAACUGACAAGUACCAUCAUGCAUAUGAACAAGAAGUGGGAUGUGUCCUAGGGAUAAUGUAUCCAGCCAACAUUGACAAACAUAGACAACAAAAUAAAGUGGCUGUAAAAAGAAAGCUAAUGCCUGUAGUUAUAGCAAGCAACCAACAUAACGGCUUCAAGGUACUUACCAAACCAAUUGCAGAUCAAAAUGUCAAGAACAAUGCUGUCCCACCAGCACUCAUUGAAGUUCGGUAGCAUGUGGCGGAAGGUAAGCUGAUAAUACAAAUGAAAGAAGAAAAAUACUCAUAGGUUAGGUAGGAAAAUCACUAAUCAUUAAGCAUAGUUGACUAAGCCUCUCACCUCCAUUAACUCAAAUCCAAUAGAUAAUACCCAUAAAAGAGGUUGGUUACGAAUCAUUAUGGCCUUUCCCCACCAUCCAAGGAUAUGUGCCAAAACAAACUCAUCAAAAAGCGUAUCCUAGAAAAGGCAGAAUGAAAUUUUAAAAGAUGCAAGAGACAGGCAUUCGGUAGCAUGCUUCAUGUAUAAUAUAAGCAGGGGAAAAAUAAGGAGAGAUUAACUUUAUGAGGUAGAAGGACUGAGAGAAUUCAUACAUAAACAUUCUUAAACCUGCUUGUGGGAUUUUCAGGCACAUAUAUCCGGCAAUCAGCACCAUAAGAUCUCUCUGGAAGCUCUGCAAGAAAAAGGGAGCUUAGAAAACAAAGCCAAAAAUACUCAGUUACUUAAUCUGUUUCAGAAAAUAUUUGUGUAAUCCACAGAGAGCCAUUAAUAGCCAAUUCAGUAACUGAAAAUGUGAAGAUGAAAUCCAUUACCAACACCAAGAUCAGGAUGCAGAUAUCUCAUGAACUCCCGAGCAUCAUCUCGCUUCUGAAGAUCAGGAAAAGGGAAAAAAAUUAGUAGCUAAAGCAAAACUAACAGUUUAGGUACAAAAUCCCAUAGAUGACACAAAAAUACUUCUAAAAAAAUCGUAGAUAUGAAAUCUGGUUCCAGAACAAGGUUAAUGCAGGAGUUUGAGAGGGGAGGGGGGAGGGGGCCAGAGAAAUCAAGAAUAGGAAACAGACUUGAUACUUCCUUUGACCACAAGUGGCAAGUAUCAAACAAAUGAUAAAAACAAAAUGCACUUUUCAAAGUUCUUAUUACUUUUAGACUUGAUUAAAAAAAAAAAAAAAAAAAAACUGAACCAACUAUACUUGAGCUUAGCACCACUACAGAAAUCAUCAUGAAUAAUGAGAAUAAAUAACUAAAACAGAAAACAAACUUAAAAUUAAAGUCUUAGCACCUGCAAAGGAAGAAAAAAUAAAGAAUCCAAACAAAAGAAAUCACCUGGAAAAGCAAAAAUGUCAAUGCAACAAGGUAAAUCACAGCCAUUCCAUGAACCAGCCGCCAAAUUGCAGGAUGAGGCCUAAUCAAUAUCCUGCAAGUGUAAGAAAGUUAAAAAGGAAAUCAUGACACAAUCCCUUUGCUGUUCAGCAUAUAAGAACUCUAUGAAGCACUUCAACAAUCCAUCUUGUUCCCCAACCACAUGACCCCAUGGUCACAGAUUAAGCAACUAAAUUCCAGUAUAUUUCUCCUUAUUCUUAACUUCAGUUGGGAACUACGCAACCACCCAUCAACAAUUAGCUGCCUCAUGAUACAGCAAGUCAUCCAUUUAGAGAAAAAGGUAAAGAACAAGAAUUAAUUGCUCUUGGUCAAAGCAACAACAAACUCUGGAAUGGUUGCCAUGUAUCUUAUUCCCAAAACUUUCAUACCAUUACUUGUGGACUCACAUUUGAAUUUAAAGGUUUUAUUUUUUAUACACUUUGACACAGCAGGAAAAAAAAGAAUAAGAAAACUUUUAGAGUUUAACAUUUGCAAUUCAUGGGCUGACCUGCGCUCUGGUAUAAUAUUUAAAAGGACAAUACGAGUGCAAUUUAUCAAGGCAUUAUAACAAUAGAAGAGUGUUCCUUUCUCAUGAAGCUUACCUGUUAAAAUCAGCCUAAAUGAAAAAAAAGGCCAUUUGACAACUUCCUCACUCAUCAUAAACUUCAGUUACUUUAAGAAACACCAGAAGACAAGAAGAACCAAUAUUGAGUAUGUUAGUAUUGUACUUACGUAUCAGGGGCUUGCAGCAAGCAAUAAGUAAGAAAAACUGCGAUCAUUGCCCAUACACCCCUAUCAAAUGCCAUAAAUGCAUUGGUACCUUAAAAAAAAUCUGAUUCUGAAAAACUUAAUGUAGGAAGGAAAGUGCUCAUAAAAAGAAAAGACAAACCUUUUCACAGAUGCAACACUAUCUACAGCUGAAACGCUUUCAGGCUCAAGGGCUCCACUGGCCCAGCUAAAAAUUUAUUUUAAAAAAAGGAUCAAAAGAAUCAGAAAACAGAAUACACAUUCUACAUACUGCAUACAGUACGACAGCCAUGCCAGGACCACAACAAAAUAAAAACUAUUCAUGCAGUUGAAUAAACAUGAUGCAUGACAUCUGCAAUGAGAAAAUAAGCAUGCAAUUUGGGAGGCAUAAGGACCAAGAUUGAUACAGUAGUAUAUUUGUAUAUCCUCUAUAAGCUAGAGAUGCUCAAGUAGGCUAUGGUGAAAUUUAAACUACUACAUGCUAGAAUAUCUGUCUGAAAGAGGGAAAAGUAGCUUCAAAAUGGGACAAGGUGGGUUGACAAGAUUCUUAAAUUGAUGGAACAAUAAAAUAGGGAGAAAAUAAGCCUAGAUCACAAGCUGAAAAGUGAUGAAGUCAAACAAUUGGCAGUAUUCAAGGCAGCCAAGAAAAUGUUAAGCUACUCUACUGAAAAAGUGUAUUAGAUAUUGAAUUACAAAAACUAAUCAAAAAGUAAUUGUCUAUAUAACUGGUUAUAGUUACUCCCAACACUAACUUCUUUACAAAAUGGAAAGCUGUAUGUACCGCAUAGAUGCAUAGUCUCAACCAACACUAAGGGAAAAAAUCAGAAACUAAGAGGGGGAUCAUUUCCAACUAGACAUCACAAUUGGUUGGAAAUUUGAUUUAUUUUUUCACCAUAAUUUUACAGGAAUUCCAUGACUCUGGUUGAAGAAUUCAUCUAGACAACAAAACGUCAUCAACUUUGCCAAUUUGGAAAAUAUGCUGAAGCUUAAUGGACUUUACAAUGCUACCCCAACAAAGCUUAAAGCAUAAGAUCCAAAGGGAACUAAAAUUCUGGAGGCCUCUCUUAUGGCAACUAAGAUGGCAACUGGUAAUUAAAUAGAAAUGCCGAAUGUUCUAGAUGCUUUUUUGAAAUGCCAAGCAUAUAGCUGUAAUAACAGAAAAAGCUCUUCAACCAAGAAUAUACACUCUACCAGUCUACCUAGAUUUCAACAACUUAGAGGCUGAGAGAGGAGUCAUGUUUAAAUUUUCAGCCUGUGGCUGACAGCAAAGAACAAAGUUGAUCGUCAGGUAUUCACAUGACUGAGGGUAUAAAAAAUAAACAUGACUGCUUCUAAAGGCUAAUCGACCACAGUUUAUGUUAAUUUGUGCUUUGGAUUCCCUAAGUACCUAGAUUCACCAAAGUUGGCUUCGUAUGAAAUGUACCUCAUAACUUGAAACAUCUAUACAACUAAAAAGAAAAAAAAUAAUAGCUGAAAACCAAAAUAGUCAAUCUAUCAUAUAAGUAGUGCUUACUCACAUGAGAAAACAGGCACCAACAAACAACAAUGUAAGUGUGCGAGGCUUGUAUGCCCAGGCAGUCCAUGGAUCCAACUCAUCAUCGGGACUUGAUAUGUUGACAUUACCAUUUUGCUUUGCAGUAUAAUCCUUCCUCCUCAUUUUCUGAUGAUCAUUAGGGUCCAUUUCCUAGAGUUGAGAAGAAUUCAAGUUUCCAAUUUCAAUGGCAAAACAGGUAUAACAAGAAAAAGAAAAGAAAGAAAUACUGCUUCAAGAAAAUAGAUAAACUAACACUAGCUAUAUCAGAAAAGAUUAGAUAAUAAAUGUCCAGAAAGAAGUACUGAAAGUGAAACGACAAUAACAUCGCUAUACUUUGAAGCAUGAACUCUACAGACAUCGCCAACAAAAAUGAUUUGGCAAUAAGAAUAAGAGAGUGAGUCCUGUGAGCUUAGAGAUGUCAAAAUCAUUGUUAGUAUAAGCGGAAUUGUCAACCCCACUCAUAGAUGGCAUAUGGUUGGAAAAAGGCAUACAAACAAAUGUCAAAAGAUGAAUAAACAAAUAACUAGCAAGUACCCCAUGACAGGCCAUGUACUCUACACACAACAAUCCAGAAGAAAGGUAAUAAUCAAGGACGGCAAAAAAGGCAGUCAAAGGACAUCCUAAAUAUCAGCAUCCCUUCUCCGCAAUUACAUAAUCAAAGCUAGUCUUGGUAUUCUUAGCCUAUACACUGAAUAUUACCGCCCAAACAUCAGUUCAGCUAGAGUCACUUCGACAGCUUUAUCAUAAUAAAUUUGCUUCUUUACUUACACAGCAUGGCCAUGCGGUAAACUUUUAAAAAAAAAAAAAAAAAGACGCAUAUAAUAAGCUGAAUAAUCAAUAAGAUGUACAAGAUAUCCCUUUUAAAAAAGAUUUUUUAAUUUCAUUAACCAGAAAUCAUAUCACCCGCAUAACAACUUCUGAAACAGCUCAGCGACAGUAAAAGUUCAGUUCAAAAGUUUAAAAAGUUAUCAUUACCAUUAAAUGCAUUGGUAAUACUUUACAGAAGAUGAGAACUUGAGAACUUCAUAAGCAUCAAAAAGCCUUAAAAAUCAAAACACAAAUUAAAAAAAAAUUCCCUCCUGAACACGGCAAUAACCAAACAGAAUCAACGCUACACAAGUGGGAAAAAAAAGCUGACAUAACAGCAUUAUAACAAGAAAAGAAACCUAAAACCAAAUUGAAAUCAUUAUUGCCACUGAAUUUAAUAGACAAAAUCUAAACUUUAAACUGCCUCCUCCCUCCCCAAUGCUAUUAAUACCUCUACUCAAUAUUGCAUGUGAUCAGAAGCCGUUAUAAUCUCCCAAAUUUCCACUAAAAAAAUGGAAAUCAUGGAAAAAGUAACGCUUAUCCAAUCCAAAACUUACCAUUACUCAAGCAAAUAACAACAGCUCAGAAUUCAAAACCCGCAGAAAGCAUUGCCUGCCAGGUUGCCAACCCCACACGUUAUUGGCAUAAAAAUGACAACUUUACACCAUAAAAACCAAGGAUAAGAAUACAAAUGGAGAAAAUUACAAUUGAAUAGAAGGAAGAAAUGGGAAAACAAGCAGAACCCAGAAAAGUUAAUUGAGUAUUUAAUCAGUUAUUGAAGACAGCAACAUACGUAAUGGUACGAAAAAAAAUGCCAGAUGUUGUCGAGGGAUACCUGGCCGAACGAUGAAAUGGCAGGGUGAUUGAGGCCGUUGGAUCAAACCCCUCGUGUUAGACAAUAGUAAAAGACCAAAAACUUUAAUGAAUUUAUCGAGAUUGACAAGAAGAAAGGAGCAGAAAAAGAAAAGAAAAGCGAGACUAAAAGAUAACUGCCUCUUCUUUCUGUUCUUCUCCCUCUCUUAAAAGGUAGUUUCGUAGUAGUAAUAAUAAUAAGGCGGUGGUGGCGGUAUUUAUAGUAACUGAAGGAGGGACGGAGAAAGGUCAGCUGUUCUUUUUGCCAGUUUUCUUUUAUUUUCUGCAAAAUCUUUCUCCCUCCCUGCCAGAAGAAGCUGGAUGACAAGGAGGAGAAAUGCGUGUCAAAAAAGUGUGUGUGUCUGUGUACGACGGUCAAAAGACUUGAUCUGAGGAUUGUGUGUGUGUGUGUGUGUUUUGGUGCAGUGUUGCGUGUGUAUAUUAGAUACGGAGUUCGAGGAAAAGGACGGUGGUAUGUGUUGAUUUUGGAGUAAUUAAUUGAUUGCUAUUUGCUACGACCGAUAGUCUAUUACUUCUACAGAGUACCCUCUGCUGACUGCUGCUGCUGCUACUUGUUUAGUUUUUCUUCGGUUUAAUUCAAUCUACACAUAUACUUGGAUCUUAAACCUUUUCCUGUAUUUUUUUUUUUUACUGGAUUUAUAUUGCAAAUGGGGUGUUAACUGUUAAAGGAUGCUGACGAUUAGAUGCUUGUUUUAUAAUUUUUUUUUUCAGCAAAAGAUUUGAAUGAAUGCGAUUUCGAUCAUCAUCAUGAAUCAAAACAUACGUUAGAAUUAUUAAUCGUUCUUCACCAACACCAGACUUGUUCCAUAGUAUAAGAAGUCAAAAGUAUAACAACUCCGAACUUGACACUAGAUUGGAUUCUAAAAGCCCUCCCUUGCUAUUGUCAAGCUCAUUCGAAUAAUUGUUAAAAAAAAAUUGAUACAUUAACAUUAAAGUACAAUAGUAUUUAUGAUUCAAUUCCAACUAGUGUCGAUUUUAGUAAAGAGUGAAAAUGGAGAAUUUGUACAAGGUGGUUGCACAGAGCCAGAAAGUUCACAAGGUACCAUCUGUUUAAUACUACUACUAAACAAAUAUAGCUAGGAGGAUGAGAACGUUAAUAAAUGAAAGUACAGUUUUGUUGUUCUGCCAGGGAUAUACUGCAUGAAUUGCAGCUUAAAUAUGUGGAUGAACCACCUUGUUCUUUUUAUAUGUCAAGAUAUUUAUGUUUUUCAAAUCUUCAUACCAAUACUCAAUGAUUAAUGAAGCUCGAUUCUACUCCACCCCUCGAGCAAAAUUCUUCCAAGUGAAUAAAACCUCAACUAGAAGGGAAAAAUUUUUAAAAAAAAGUACUAAUAAAUUGAGAAGCAAACGUGGAAAGUCUUCUUGGCAACUUUGUUGACAGUGACAAAAGGUUUAUGUAGAUGCCUAUUGCCUAAAGCCUAAAGGGCCCUUCUUCUGGGAUAGCAAUUUCCAAUAGCAACAGCAUAUUAUCAACUGUUAAUUAGGUGCUUUCGGGCAUAUGGCUUGUACCAUUGCCCAGGCUGGUAUAUCUGACCAACAUGCCAUUUUACUGCCUAUCCCUGACUAAUUUUAGUUUACAUUAAAAUACAGGCUUCAACUGGUCCAAGAAACCCCCAGUGCUUGAGAUGUUGCAUUUUUUCACUGCAAUAGCAGAUUACAAACACUUGGUUGAGCCUCAGGAUAGUCUACUAAAAAUGAAGAGCGAUCUGUCUAACGGGAGUCCGUAGGACACUUGUUAAGAUAUAUUUUAAGUAUUAUAUUUUUUAAAAUAUAAGAUUAAUUAAGAAAAGCAAAUAAAUAUAAGAAAGGAUAUACAAAAUUAAAUAAUAUAUAUAAAUACAAGAAAAAAUAAUAAUUAUUAAUAUGUAUAUAUAUGUAUGUAUAAGAUAGAUUAAGUGAAUACGAUGCAUGUUAACAAUUGGUCUAAAGGCACCUGCUAGAAAAACCUGCAAAGAGAUCUAAGCAAAAGAAGUUUGCCCUUUUUGGAAAUCUGUUUUUCUUGAUUCCCCAGCUCAUGAAAAAGUCUGUACAGAGAGUGGGGUUGGAUUCACUGAAGUUGGCGUUGCCGGUUAAAAUGAGAAAAAAAUGGAUAACCUCUACUCCAGUGGCUUUAUUAAUUAUUGCCCACCUAUUAGCUUUAAAAAUCAGAAAAGAAAAAGAGUGCCAGUCAAAUAAUGCCUGUGAGGAUCUAGGAUGCAAUGAUUCCUGGUUUGAUUUAUUAACCACAAAAGAUUCAGAAAGAUUGCUUUCUGUUCUUUUGGGACCUUCCAAUGAUGCAGGCCUAAUUACUUUGCUUAAUUUCUUUGACUGCACAACUUUUUGUUUCCGUGAUUCAUGAGUUCCUAGAAAAGUUUGUUGUGUAUGAUUAAGUACAAAAACUUUGAUACCCUCGUCAUUAUUUGUCAGAAUAUUUGGCACAAUCAUUCAAAUACAUUGGAAGAUUACACAAUAAUUGGAAUAAGACAUCUUCAUUAAGAUACAUUGAAAUGUCCUCUAGUUUGGCAAAUAUAACCAACCAUGAUCUUGUGAAUGGCUAAUCAUUUGAGGCAAGAUAUCUUGAUUAAGAUUAGGGUGCUUGAGAUUCAAGAAAUUACUUGGCUAGCUCUUGCCACUAGACACAACAAUAGCUAUCAACUAUUUCUACAUAGGAGAGGCACUCAACCCCAUUUUUUGUUUGAGCAAAUGAUCAAUAAUGACCCUAAUGUCAUUUAUGGCAAAAAAAAUUUUUAAGGGUGUUGUCACCUAACCAUCCAAGUUGCUACUAUCUUUUUUCUUUCUUGACUUGAAAAAUUGAAGGGUAAAAGUGGAGCAAAGUAUUGGCUCAAUGUGUUUUUCUGCAACUUUUAUGGCUUUUAGAAAAGUUUACUCUUAACAAACAAAGUCCCUGGCAUUUCUCUGCUGAAAAAGCUUUCCCCAAGCUAUCAAACAAUGAUAGAUCAAUUUUUUUUCAUGUAAUUCAUUGUCUGAUAAUACAUCAACAGUGUAAUAUGCAAUGGUUCACUUAGGAUGAGAAGGUUUUGGACAAUAAUUACCCCCAAUGCAAUUGCCAAUUCUUGAUUCUCAAAAAAUUAGAAAAACAAAACAGCAAGGUGGCAAGCCACCUUGUGUGGUCCAGAUUGGUAGGUAGUAUUCUACUAUUCUCAACCCAAAAUUGGAAAUGAAGAGACAGAAAAAUUUAAGAAUACUAAGGUUUUAGUUGCAGUUGGGCCCAGAAUUAUUUAAUAAACGACUAUUAGAACUACAUGUAAUGUACACAAAAUGUGGCCCACGGUCAAUAUUGACUGUAGGGUUGAAGAUGUAGAGAGAUUCCAAACAGAAAGAGACAAUAUUAUUCCACAACCCAUCAAAUCUCCUCUCUAGCAUACAAUGACAUCUCUGUUUAGCAUAAUGCGUAGUGGUGUAGUCUAUAAAUUUGCCCCCACUUGUUUUACAUACUUUGAGUAUAACUCUUUCGACUUUCAUGCAAAUUCUAAUGGAAGAAAGUAUGUUAUAGAUCCAUCGGUCUGCAUAUGCACUGUGUUUUUCAUAAUAGGUCAUUCUCACGUGCAUUUUGUCUGGAAUUUGUGAGGUUUUACAUUUUUGUGACAGAUCACUUACGUAAGUUCGAUUCAUAUCAGAAAUUUCAUAACAAUAGUGUUCCAAAACAAAGGAAGCAACCGAUGUAUUAAUAUCGAUCGAUCGACGGUGCAAAUGGUUAUGGUUAUUAUUUAUUGAAAGCAAGGGAUUUUGUGGGGGAAAUUUAAUUUAUCCCUCUGUAACUUAAUUUGGUGAAAGUAGAAGGGCCUUCAUCUAUGCUGAUGACAAAAAUUUUGUCCUUAUGAUGAUCAUCAAGACCAAGCAAGCUUAGAAAAUAAUAAUUGAUUUACACCUGACAGGCCGUCCCACCUCCCCAUAUGGUUUGAGAUUUUGACCCAUCUUUCUUGGUUAUAUUAUAGGUUGGGAAUCACACAUCUAAGAUCUAAACCAACAUGGCCCAGAAAAAGAAGACACAACGGAAAGUAGUAAAAAACAAUUAGCCCAUGGCCAUAUAUAUUGGGAUAAGGGCUCUUCCCAGAAAAGGAUCCACAAAUUUCAAUUCGACAAGAUUAAAAAACAUGUGUCCCAUUAAACUUCACUGUCAAAUUCAAUUGAAAAUGUCACAUAAACUUUAGGUCAAAUUGCAACUUGUGAUUGUCAUCACACCGUUGUGGCCAACAGUCCAGCAAACACACAGCCACGCGACGAAGAAUCAUAGGCCAUCCUGUUGGCUUGAAAGUCACUAAGACUCUUAUAUAAAUUGGUUGAUUUGGAAUCUAGAACAACCCUAAAAUGACUGAAUUUGAAUUACUAUUAAUCAAUUGAUUUUCAGUUUUGCCUUUCUUUUUUAGGAUCAUUUUAGAAACCUCCUUUGAGGCAUCAAGAAACAUCACUUAACUCCCCCGACAUUUUCAAAAUCUCGUUUAACUUUUGUGAAGCGAUGGAGGGAUUAUAUUUCACUAUUAGAGGGGAAGAAUUGCCAACAAUAUACUCAUUUCUCAAGCAAUUAUCUAGCUUCAACAGAGAGAGAGAUCUUGGCGUGUAAUAGAAAAGGGCAAGAAAUGAGAUUGGCACAUUUUUUACACCCUAGAUAUAGCAAAGACACGAAUUGUCUCUUAUAGUAGCAAAGGCGCAAACUUCUUUAUCAGAGUGCUAUAACCUACAAAAGAACUUUUGUUUCUACUUGGCAGGACCAUCCUUUUUUCCUCUCUUAUGUAUAGAAUAAUAGGUGUAAUUCUUGGAAUAAGAAGAAAUUUGCACAACCAGCAAAGGGAUUCCCUAAUGUUUUGGAGUAAAGGCAUCAUUCCGCAAACUUUACUAUAUAACAAUUAAAAAUCUAAACUAUUUGAUGUUCUAAAUAAUCAUGUAAUAAGCAACAGGAGAUGGUUUGGGUUGUAAACGAAUUCGAUACUUGAUAUACAAUGGAAUAUGAUAAUAUUCACCUUUGAUAGUGGUGCUUAAGCCCGAGAUUUUAUGAUCAAAAAUAGGAUCCACAAUAGCGAUUUUUAAUGUUCAACAAUGAUGAUAAUUUGUAUGACCGCCCCUCGUAGGUUGAACUAGUCAUUUUUUACUACCAAUUUCCUCUCAAUUUACCUCUCUUCAUGUUGUUUGUGCCUUUUAUUAAUGCUGCAACAUUUGAAGUGACCAUUGGCUUUCAACAGUUUACUAGCUACUGAUUGCAGCAAACCUUUCUCUUGAUCAUACUGUUACUCUCUCACUUUCAAAAUGUUUUCAUUUCCUAGUUUCUCAAAUGUUUAUUUUUGAACAGCCUAAGGGUAUUAAGGACACCAAAAUACUCUCUCUCCUCUAACGUGCAAUUUCUAAUACUCUAUUACUUUUGAUUAGAAGGGCUGACACUAUUAACAAAAUAUCAAUUCGAGGGGAGCUAAGCCAAAUCUUGAAAAUUUAGAGGAGCUAAGUGAUAUUUCACAAAACCUCAGGGCAGAUUUCCAAAAUUAUCUACUUUUCCUAGUUACAUAACGGACUGUUUGAAUUUGGAACCCAAACCGUGGGCCUUGGAAGGGAUUAGCUCUUGCCAAGAAACUCUCGGCUCAAUAUGUCCUGCUGGAUAUUCAAAAGAUUUAAAGGAGGAAUUGAAGUUCGUUCCUCAUAAAAUUUUUUGCUAAUACCAAUAAUUAUACAUGACACUUUAAUCAUAUGAUUGGUCCAAUAUUGAUUCACUAUGAAGAGGGCACCAACAAAUUGAACUCAUAAUUCUCUCUUUCUUUGAGUUUUGUAAUUUGAAUAAAAGGUGAAAAAAUGAAAAAAAAAAUUUUAAAAAAAAAGUGUUUUAUGUGGCUGGUGCGUACAUGCAUAUAUUACUAUUUUCAUGAUCCCUUCAGUUUUAUAAAGAUCUGUUUAUCAGGCUUGAAAUUGAUAGUAACAUAACAAAUCAAAAGCAUGCACUCCAAUGGAUUUGACAGGAUGGAUUUGAAAGUUGAAACUUAAGUACUUGAAGCCUUUAUAUCUCUUCUUUUCCCCACCACCAUUAUGAACAUAUUAAGGCCCUCAUUUUGUGGACAGGAGCACAGCAUUUGGCCAUUUGCCGACCCUACAGACUAAAAUUUUGCCUUUUCAUGCGCAGCACAGAUUGAGACUAAUUAACAACGCAUUUCUCAGUUAAGGAUUCAAGACAAGGAGGAACAGAGUUUCCCAAGCUGUCCCAAUCUCGUAUGGUUAGAUUCCAUUUCUCUCAACAUUAUUUACCUAAUCAAAUAGAUGAUCCCCGACAGUCGGAUCAAUGUCGCAUUUCGAGGACACUCCUGAUUUUUUAUUUCAUUUGAUUUGGGAACAGUGUCACAAUCUUCUGGAGGUGGUCCAACAACUUACUAAUUUUCAUGCACACACAUUCACAGAUUCGCAGGCGUAUUUGUCUCAGAAGAAAAUUACUAACUUGGAACUGCAGCAUUUUUCGCUCAAUCAACAACUAAAGAUAUGGCAAGGCGCCUAUGAUAAUCCAACUGUAACUUUUGAUGCUCUAAUUCAAUGAAUACAAGAAAAACCACGCAGGCUUGACCCAACCCCACCCCCACCCCCCCACCUCUCUUAAAAAAAAAGAAAAAAAAAGGAAGAAAAAGAGAGAUAGAGAGAGAAAGACAGACCCUUCCACAAGAAUUAACUAUGACACCAACCUUCAACUCUGCAGUGUCUGUUUUCUUGUACCUGAAAUUUAGACUUCAGAAAGUUUUCCAGGUUAUCAAGCAGGCCUGCGCGUGCCCGGCUUAUGUGCUGUUGAUUGAGGAAUAGGAACAUGGUUUAUGACUUAAAAACGGUCGGUUGCUAGCAAUCGUAAAGCAAACGCUAAGAAAAAACCUUCACAAUACAGGUGAUUGGAGACUGAAAGGAAAAUGAUGACCCAUCGGAUUAUGAUGAUGAUCUUACAACAGAACAUUAGGUACAACAAUCAUCAACGUGAUCAUUAAGCACUAGAGGAAUACACAAGCCCGGUUUUCAGAGAUCUCUCCAUAUGCUAUCAUGCAUAUUUUCAUCGGGAUCAUCUCAAAGUGCUUGCUUGGUGGAAGCACAAAGGCUCCUGACCUCGUUGCCACUUGAUAAUAACAAUUAAUCCUCUAGCCUAAUUUCUACAACUUCGUCUAUCUGCCAAUCCAUCCACCACACCCAGGAGCGGCUGCAUAUCUGACCAACACUUGCAUCUCUGUGCCUGGAUAUACCGACCCAAUAGCUCUUGCCAUAAACAAACUUCACAUUGACAACCUUUUAUCUACCUGUCAAUGGAUAAGCUCCUUGGUGCAAGAGCAGAAUCCGUACUCCGUAAGCCUGCAAGGCAUGCACUUAGAAGCAACACUUCCAUGCUUCAUCAUCGUGAUCUUGCAAUAUGGCAGCUUACUUCUGUUCAUUCUAUGACAACACCAACGUUAUCUGUGCUCUUUCUUGCUUUUUUUGAGAAACAAGGACAUUUGUUCAAUAUAAUCAUGACCUCUCUGGUGUCCUUCCAACAGCCACUCGAGAGCCUCAGCUGCUGCAUCUUUUUCUGCUUGUUUCUUGUUGUUACAAGGGUGGCCCAUUAUUUGCACUCCAUUAAAUUCAACUGUUGCUAGAAACUGAUUAUUCUUCUCUUGCUUGGUCUUGUAGAUGGGUGCUGCAUAUCCUGCUCGUGUCAGCAAUGUUUGUAGUUGACUCUUUGAAUUAUCACCUCCAGGGCCACUUUCUGUCCUAGACAUCAAGGUUGGUGGUGCUGCUACUGCCACAGCAGAUGGUUUUGGGGGUUGUAGAACCUGCCGAUUGAAUACAAAUCUGCCAUCACCUUGAUCCUCAGUGAUCAACAAUCUAAUUGCUGAUAGGAGCGCAUGAUGGGAGUGUAUGUCCAUUCUAGGAUUUAGGAGCUGUAGAUGAACUUCAUUAGUUUUAGUACACUGUUUACAAGCGAUUACACUUAUGAAACACUAAGCAACCAAGAGUCGUAGGAAACAAAAAAAUGCAGCAAUACUAGGCAAAAAUCGUUACAGACAAUCACAGAAAACAAAAUCUGCAAUGAAAUAGGAUAGGAGCAACAUUCAGGCAUGACAAAACUUUCUUUCACUAUUCGACAUACUUUGGUCUGAAUUAACUCCUCGAGUUCUCUCCUUAAGCUUUGGUACAUUUCAGCUACACUAGGGCUCAUAAAGAACUCCAGGUAUCCACCAAGCAUUUUUAUGUGUCCAUCCUGUCAAAAAGAAGAACACAAUUUCACAUUACACAUCAAAUGCAUAACGACGCUAUAAUCUCAAAACAAGCAGCAACAACGAAAGCCUGAUAUCCUUCUUCUCCCUCUCUCUCUUUAAUUACCUUAGUUUUGCAGCUAAAGAGAUGUGGGGUCUUAAGGCAAGAGGGUUUGUUAAGGCAGAAUAUAUAUAUGCUUAAAUGAAUGAACUCACCAUGUCCCCUUUCAAGACACUUCCACCAAAAAGGAGGAGUACUGAAUCAGACACAGCUGUUGAAUCCCGAAGAAAAAUAGAGUUCACCUUGAUCUUCUCAUUGAAAACUAGCCAUGGAUAUGGUAUUCUAGAUUCACGUCCAUUGACUGAGUUCUGAAUAAAGUUGAAACAAAAAUUAGCCAACACCACUUUGAGAAUUUGAAAACAAGGAGGUAGAGAAUGAACACUUACAGAGUAUAGAAGCACCUGACCAUCUUCCAUUGUUUUGAAUGAGAACGACUUUUCAUUUGGCUGUAAUGAAAUUUGUGCAAGCAAUCAGAAAUAUAACAAGCAAGGUCUACACAAAAAUCUAUAACAAGCAACAUUUCCACGAUGUCAGUAUAUACGUAAACUAAUUCACUAAUCAUAUUAAAAAACGUGAUGCUACAGUUAGCGGUGUCUUGUAGCACGAUUCAGUUCAUUCAAACACAAAAGGUCAAUAUUAUGUUCAUAUUAUAUAAGCAUUAUUACUGAUGCACCAAGAAACUGAAGGCCAUAAGAAACUAUAUACAGAACCUCCAACAAGAGCAUGGCUUACCACAACAGAACAAAUUCCUGGAUACAACCCAUAGCAAAUAACUGCCCUGAGGAGAUGCUCGUCAUAACUCCAGGUGUUGUAGGUGGUGGAGUUGCUAUCAACAAGGCCUGUAUCCUUGAGCAACAAGUAGAACUCUUUUGUAAGAGAAUCAAUUGCUUUCAUCGACUGUGCUGACAGAAAAUUCUUCCAGCAGUACUCGUAUCCAGCUAGGUCCAUUUCAGAAUCUUUCCAUCCCUCAUACGCCCUAACAAGGGCAAGGUGGUCACUGUAGUCUUGAGAAAACUGUGCUUUUGCAGCUUCUGCUAGCUGAGAAUAAAAAAGCCAUUUUAUGAAACAGUUCAUUAACAUAGAUAUCUCAAAAUGCCUGUUAAUAAUGCAAAUCAGCAUGAUCACACAUAACUGCUCACAGAUUGCCAAAGGAACUCCCACUUGUGCUUAAAAUCCUAAAUUCAAGUACUUAGAAGUUAAUGCCAGUAGAAGCUUGACAGUGAAGUGCCUAGUACUUUCAAAUUAAGCCUUGCCAAUGAUUUUUCUUUUGCACUUUAUGAACUGGCAACAUCUCAUCUGCAAUGUUAACAAUGUCACCUUAGCAUCAAAAACAUACAUUUUCAGAAACACCAGUAUUUUACCUCAAAUACUAUUUCGAUAAUGAUCCUUAACAUUAAUGGUGAGUCUAACUUGUUACUCUCAGUGAUUUUGACACAUAAAUUACUGGCAGUAAUUAUCCCCCACAAUGUCCUCUAAUUAAAGGGUAUAUUGCUUAUGCACUAAGACACAGACUUAAAAGAGCAUCAACGAGGAGCAGAAAAUCCAAUUUAUACCAAGUUUUCAUUCACACAUACACGCAUAUGGACAAAGCAGAAGGGCAAUGGAGCAACAGGUGCAAACCAGGUUCUUCUUUCAUCAAUUAGACUUUUAAAAGUCCAUGUAACCCCUAUAACAGAUAUGAACUGACAUGAUCACGAGCAAACAGAAAAUGUCAGGUUAUUUAUGUGUUGAGAUUAAGAUGUGGAACCUAAUUUUGAUAGAAUUCAAAGUCUUGCAGUAAUUAGUCUGAUAUUCUCCAUUUGGAAAUGCAUUUGCAAGCAAUAGUUCACUCUUUUGGUAGCCAAUGAUCCACAAAAUGCCUGGAGAGCCCUUGUUUAACGAGCAGUAUAACCUAAUGUAUGGGAUCGGUUUAUCUUAACAAGAUAAACAGUCUAUCUUAACAAGAUAACCUAAUGUACAGGAUCACUUUCUUUUUCCCUUAGUCCUGAUAUGCCUUUCUGUUUUAUAUUUUUAGCGUUGCUGGAUUCCCCAAUUUCGUAAUAAGUCAAAUGAUUGUUUAAGAAAGAAGGGUAGAAGCUGGUUGAAGACAGACAAAAUGAAAACAAGGUAACUGCUUCAGGGAAAAUGAUAGUGGCAUUAACUGCCGACAACAUUUCACCCAAGAAAUCAUGUGGCCCCCAUACAAGGUGCAAUACAAGAAUUGUUUUAUUUCAUUUACAUCUGACUAUAUGGAAAAGGUUAAUACAGAAAUACAGUGCAAAGUAAGGUUGCUGGAACCAGAUCAUCAGCAGAUCACAGCAAUGUAAACAUGUUUUUGGAUGGACUAGAGGUUUGACAGCAGAAAAUAACAUUAAGCAACUAGUCACAUGCUUCUGUUGACCAUCUGACCAUCCAAAUAAUGCCAUCAGCAACUCCUGCUUAUCCUUGUUUGAUGUACAUGACUAAAAUCAUAACUAUUGCACAAAAUAUUAGCAGUUCUACAAAUUAACUGGAUGAUUUAACUGGAAAAGGAUAUGCAAGGGCAGGAAAACCACCACACUGGUAGACUGGAUAUAGCACCAGGUCUUUAGGACAUUUUGGAGAUCAAAAUAAUAUUUGUAGGAGUAGAAUAGAAGAAAGACCAACUGUUACAUGUGACAAGCAGAAAGAAUCUAUAUAAGGAAAAGAAAGCUUGACUUACAUCUUUUUUGUCUAAAGGGCUUAAGAAAGGAUCACGGACACUUAGACCAGCAACAAUAGUUAAUAUAGGGUCCAGACAAUAAAAGAUGGCACCAAGUACUAGCAUCUUCCCAAAUUUAGGCUCCAUGGGAAGCAUAGUUAAGUAGCGCCCUGUCCAGAAAAUGAUGAAACACAAUAUCAGAAUCUAUACUAAAUGUUGAUCUGCUGAUAUCCAUGAUUAAUAAACAAAACACAGGCUGGCAAUGGAACACGCAAUGAACAAAUACCUAAAACAGUCAGGUUUUCAUUCUCAUCUAAAGCCCCAAUAACGUUCAAAUACUCGAUAGCAUUUUGCACCUGUAGCAAAUUCAGGAAAAAGAAUUAGUUAGUAAUGUUGGAAUUUAACAAUUUGUGUGCUGGGAGGUCAAGUGCCCAUGUUGCUAAAGGAACCAACUGGAAAUAUUGCAAAAGAAGAGGCUCCACAUUACACAAGUGAUAAGAACAAAAUGAAAGGUAUACUUCGUAGUAUUACCGCUAGUAACUCUGGUGACUGCAGAGCUCUAGAAAGGAACUCUGAAAUACUACCGAGUUUUAGACUUUUGAUUUGCAAACAAAGUGACUGCAGAGGUGUUCUCAAUAUCUCUGGCAACUGAUAAUCUGCAAAAGCAUCAUAUACACAUCUGGGAUAAAGACGGUAACAUUCUCCUGGUUGUACACGUCCAGCUCUUCCUCUUCUCUGAAAUUCCAUGAACCAAUAAGAUAAUGGGGUAGUCAAUAUAGAAAUCAAAACUUAAGAGCAGUAUAUCACUCAUAAGAGUGCUAUAGGAACCCCCUCAAAUUUCCAAAUUAGCAUCAUAGAAGGGCUAUGAUAAGAUUUUUGGAAGGAAAUUCUUUUCUGCAUGCAAACCUAGCAGAAUUACGGAGGCAAUUUAUCAUCACCCACCUGACUAUGAUCAAUACUACUUGUUCCAAAAUAAAAAUUUGCUGGAAUAACAUCAUAGAAUAAGAAAAAACUGUCAAUUUUUAUUGCCUUACUUUUCUUGUGAAGGACUUGCCCAUAUGAUACAAAGACCUAAAGUUAAGGGUAAGUUAAACUAAACCACAAUACCUCCUGCCAUAACUACAAAGAAUUUUUUCAAAUUCCUACAAGCUUAUGUUAACCCAAAAAUUUUCAUGAUUUUAUGUAUACCUAAACUGCCAGUUAAAUGCUGUUGACAUCAACUACAUUCUUUUUCAUAAAACCUCAAAACUACACAAUGAUUUUGUAACAGCUGCCCCUUCCCUGUCAUAUGUGUCUAGUAAUUAAACAUUCCUGAAACAACAAUAACCCUUUGAUUUUUACCUUUUCAUCAAAACAAUGAUCUCGAUACUGCGACACCUGUAUCUUAAAGCUCUCUUAUAUUCAAGUAAAUGAUAUGGUCAUUAAAUAUUUCAUUCUCAAUCCCACAGUCACUAAGAUCAGAUUUUUUAUUCCUCUAUAUGUUUUUUCAUUUUCCCAACAUCGCAAUGCCCUAAGUUUAUAUCACAGUAGUAUGUAUCCGUUGUUCAUUGUCGGCCAAACAAGAGAUCUGAUCAACUCUUUGAAGGGAAAAAAUAUUGGUCCUUUUAUUAUUUGCCUGAACAUGACAAUGCCCUGAGGCUACAUCCUCGCAAAUGUUAUGCUCGUGGUUAAAAAGCCAAAGGAGAAAAAUCAACUUUUGAGGGCAACAAGAUCACAAAAUAAUGCAAGCAAGGCUACCACAUGAAAUAAACUAUCCAAAAAGAAAAGUACUCACUUGUUUGGCUGAAACUUUAGAGAUCCAGGAAGGAAGCAAGCAAGGAGUGUUAUUUAAUGCAUCAUAUGAUGUCUCCUUUGCCUUUCCACAGUCAAUCACAAGUACAACAUCAUCAAUUGUGAUACUGGUUUCAGCAAUAUUAGUAGCUAAGAUAAUCUUUCUUACUCCAUCUUCAGCUUUGUUAAAAAUUAAACUCUGCAGGCAUCCAAGAUCAAAAGCAUAAAUCACUAGAAUUGGAUGUCUCAUAAUUAACUUCAAAUGGUAAAAUUUAUUACUCUGCACAUAAAGCUGAAAGCAAAAAAAUAUAAGACUACUAAAGUUUCUGUGAGAUACAUGUUACGGCCUAAAUGUUGAACUAUUGACACUACAACCUGUCAAAAUGCUUCAAGAUAAAGAAAUAUUUGGAACUCAUGUUUCCUUCUUGAUAUUUCAACUUCUCUCAGGCACCUUAAAAGCAGUCAUCCAACAAGCAAUUCAGAAAGAUGAAGCUUUGGUUUAAUAUAAUUUUUCAAACAGGCAAAGCUACUUCCAAACGCACCUCCAUGGCUGCUUGUCAGAAUCAGCUUGAUUAAACAAAUAGAAGUCAAAGCAAACAACAACACUUCGAAACAGAUAUGAGCAUAAAAAAAAAGGCUCAGCCAAACAUUUAACUGCACCGGAAAAAAGGAAGAAAGAACAUGUUGCACAUCUGAUAUAAAAUGUUCUGUGUUAUUUUUAAAUCUAGAUGACAGAAACCAUCUUAAGAGUGUCAAAUUGACAAAAAUAUCGUUGCUGCUGAUUAUUAUGCCAGAAAAGGAGCAUCUAAGGCAGCUUCGGCUAAAGCAACUGAAAGGAAACUCAACUCUUAGAGCAUCUCUGGUGGGCCACAGGCGAAACCAAUGUUUCCAUGGGUGGGUCACCUUUGGAGAAGUAGGGUGAUGACCGGCACUUGUCAGUGGCAGGAUGGUGGCAGAAAACUCAGGAAAGAAAUUUCGUAUCAUUCAACCGUCUAAUCCUCGCACCUUUUCUUCCUUGUUAAGCAAAUACUUCAAUUUAAAUUACUUAAUAAUUUCUCAUUGAUCUAUCUUCCAUCACUGAGAUGGGUUUACGUGUAUAUUUAUAUUUUCCUACACUCCUGAUCACCAGGAAUCUACAGCUACAAUAGACAAAUGCCAAGGCAUCUGCUAAGUUUUGGUGGAAUGACAAACAUUACCAACAGACGUGUUCAUUUCAACACAACUUUAUAAAAUGAGAAACCCAAGAAGCAAAAAAUUUGUAUACUUUGAAAUCACCUGUUCGGAACUAGCCAUAGAACCAUGGCAGGUCAACAGCAGAACCUGGUUUGGAUCUCCUAUUAUUUGAUGGCCCUGGAGCUUUUCUUUCAAUGCACUUAUGUCAUCCCAACCAGUCAUAAAAACUAACACAGCACCAGGCUUUUCAUUUUGACAUAUAUAAUCCAGAAGAUGCUCUAUAAGGUUGAACCCAAUGCAAUCAGGGUUCCAACAAGACAAGGACUCCCGUGUCAGUGGGCUAUAAUCCUCAAAGUCAGCUGCUCUAAGUGCAUCCUGAUUACAUUUACCAAACAUGCAAAGCAUGUCAGCAAGAGAAUGACAAACUUAGAAUGAAGUAGAAGUAAUAGUAACUUACAAUACCUCAACAGCAGAAGCAAUUUGGCUUUUCCUCUUUCUUGGAGCUUGCUUGUUCAUUUUCCAUAAUUUCUCCAGACCAUAAUCAUCAAUUUGAUUGUAUGGUGUUAACCUGUAUCCCGUCAUUUCCAAAAUGUUCUCCAGAAAAUGAGUUCGUACAGGAUACGUGAAGCCCUAGAUAAACACGAGUUGAUAACAAAUUUCACUUGGGGUUCCACUGAUUGCACAAAUUAUUCAUCCAUUUGUUUCACAAGAAAAACUGUUAUAGCAUUGCAAAACUAUAUAUCUUUUCCAUCUUUUCUGACUGAACACCAAGACCAGUAAAACCCCACAAACUCAGACUAACUCCAAUUUCUCACACAUAAUCCAUGAUAACCAUGGUCUUAACAAGGCCGACAAUGACUAAAUGGCAAAUAAUCCAAAUCCCAUAUUAAAUGUUCUGCAUUGCCUUGGCAUGAUUUUCAACGUGAAAGUUGAAAAAGCAAGUUAAACGUCAAACUGGGACGCUAAAAUAAAAAAUUAAAAUUGAAAACAUGAAAAUCAUUGGAGGAACCAUAAGCUCCAAAAAACAAAUUUGGAUGAGAAAUGUGUUUGAUGACCAGAUUCUUUUACCAGAUCUGUAGUGGGUAAAACAUUUCACUAAAGGGGCAUCAUCUUAAAAAUUUUCCUAACAUCAAAGCCUUCAUGAAUUUCAGAAAAAAUUCAACACCAGGCACCAGCUGAUUUACAAGCUAUACAAUUGUAACUCUUGAACACACAUCAAACAAAACGAGUUGAAAUAUGCACAAAACCACGCAAGUCUUAUUCACACACACAAGAAAACAAACAAAAUAAAUAAAUAAAUAAAUAAAAGAAAAAAGAAAGGAAACCCACAAAAAGAAAUUAAAUGAAGUGAUCUGAAAGAAAAUUUAGCCAGUCAAGAUAAACCAUAAUUUCCUUAUAAGUGCAAGAUGCAGUGUAUGCUCACUGGAAUGUGGACCAUAGGAGCCCUGCCAAAGUAUGACGAGAAGAGCUCUGCAUCCAGUGUUGCACUCAUCAAAAUCAGCCUCAAUUCUGGUCGAUGAGGAAGUAGAUCUUUUAAAACUAUAAGCAGGAAAUCUGAAAUCAAGAAUAACUAGAAGUUAGAAACUUUCCUUAAUGAGAUCUGAUGGUACGAUCUCUGUAAAGACAAGAUUUUACCUUCAUUCAUUCCACGUUCAUGGACCUCAUCGACAAUAACAUGUGAUACACCUUUUAAGUUCCUAUCUACCAAUAACCUUCUUAACAAGAUGCCUGUUGUGCAAAAAAGGAGGUGAGUAUCCCUUCCUUUCACACCUUCUAAUCGGACUUUAUAUCCAACCUGAGAAUAUACAUCAGAUAUUUAGGUCACUUUACAUGUCUGCAAACUCAUCCCUGGCUAUACUGAACAUUUGGAAAUAUCGGGACUUACUGUUUCACCCAACAAUUCUCCCCUCUCUGCAGCGACUCUUUCAGAUACAGACAUUGCAGAUAUUCUUCGAGGUUGAGUGCAUAUGAUAUUGCACAUUGCACCACGAGUAGCCUCAAUCUCAGACUCCAAAAUGUACUGUGGAAUCUGUGUUGUCUUUCCACAACCAGUUUCACCAGAGAUUAUAACCACCUAUAGACAACAAAUGUUUUCUCAUCUUCAAUGAAAUAAGUUAUAAUAACCAGAGAAAAUAUUUCAAUCUACUUAUAGAAGAAAAGCUUCCAAGUGAAAAACUGAAAGAUUCCCAUAAUGUUCAAAACUAAUUUAAAGUCCCAUUCUCUCAAUAUCUAUCUUUUUUUAUUCCUUUUUUUUGGUGUGUGUGUGCGCUUGCUUGUUCUUGUUGGAACAAAUUUAUGAAGACUUAAAUAUCUAUAAAUAUUUCACAAAGCUACGCUAAUAUAUAGCUAAUAACAAUAAAAACAGAUGCUCAAAGGAAGAGUUUUUUAAUAUAUUGUUAUCACGAAAUGCACUGGAGAAUAAUCCCAGCCAAGCUUUUCAAUACUAACUGGGGCAUUAUAUCUUCCCUCCACCAAUAAGAAUAAUUUGCUUGCAUUCUCCAACAAAAAGAAAAAGAAAAGAAACAAAAAAGACAUUUAAGCAUCAAUAACAGGGAGAAAUGGGUGGAAGAGACCCCUAUCAAAGUUUCAGAUGUUGAAUUAAUAAAACUCUCUCUAGAAAAUAUGUAGCCCUUGGGGUUUGGCUAGUAUCAGCAAGGCCAUAAUACAACUUAUGCACCAAAAUAUUAGAAAGCGAGAAAAACUUUCUUGUCAGAACAUCUUUCCUGGACUGUUUAAGAACUCAUACCAAACUGCAAUUUGAUUAGCAUAUUGGUAAGGGCAGAAUAGAGUGGAAAGAAAGUCUGAAAAAUUUUUAGCUUAAUCUAACGGACAGAUGACAAAUAAACUGAUUUUGAUGCAAAAGAGGAGAGGAUGAAAGAUGUAGCUAAAAAUAUUUUCUCUAAUGGUCCAGAAAAUUUAGAAAUAUGCAUAAUUCUCAAAGGUCUUUGACUCUUGGCAGGCAAUCAGUAAGGUCAAAAUUAGCAUUUCCACUACCUGGUUAUUUGCAAUGGCACUUAAUAUUGCAUCCUUUUCCUUGUAAGCAGGAAGACUCCUGCGAAAUUCCAUUAUCUUCUGGCCUUGUUGAGAUUCCUAUCAAAACCAAAAAGCAUUAUAACUACAAUUACACCUCACUUUUCUUUCAAUUAAACAAGAAACUGAAAGGUUUAAACGUUCUGCAUAGCUCCAGACUCUGCAUUAAGCCUUAAAUACUCGAUAGCUAAAUAAGCAAUGCAUAUGAGAACACCAUAACAGAGAACAGAAACUCUAUGAACUUGAAACUUCACACAAGCAUCAAGGAGGAUUUCUUGGAUCCCCAAGCCAAUGGAGAAGCUACAUCAACUCAAAGAGAGUGUAAUCAACCUCAAUAAGCAGCACAAAUAGCAUGUCAGAUACUACAUUCCAAGCCAUACAUGCUACUUCAACAGCUGAUAAGAACUAAAACUAGUGGUGCAUCUCACCAACGGAAGAUCUCAUCAGGGACUGCUAUCUUACUGGCAUUAUUAAGAACCUAACCAGUCAGGUGAAUGAUAUUUCCACACUCUGGUGAGAUAAUACUAGGCCUAAAGCUCCAACAGUUAAUCACAAGGGCAGUCAUAACCUUCUACUUUAAGAAGAGAAUUACAAGAUGAAAAAAUCAACAAGUGUUAAGAAAUAAAUUUUUCUCAAAUGACAAAAAAAUGUAUUUCGAGAUAAAUCAGCAAUAUACUGCUGUUUGAACAAAGGAGAAAUGACAAACAAACAAGAGGCCAGAAGGAAAAAAAUGUGCAUGGUUAUGUACUAAGAGGGACAAAAUGCAGCGCAAAAGUUGCGAACAAAGCCCCUCAAUGCUAAAAUUGUAUCAGAAGAACCAGAAUAUGGAAAUUGAUCCAUUUCACAAUAAGCAUUCACUUAAGUUGCUACCCCAUUGAUAGUUCCCUUCACAGCACCAACUUUUUGGUUUCAACUCGCCAAACUCACAAUUCAGUUGGUUUAUUUUGACUCUUUUUGCUAAUUUCUUCUUCUCCAAGUGAUUCUGUAAUGUGAUACGAAAGCUUGUCUACUCCAAUGAAGUUUUCCAGAAUAAGAAGCCAUAGGACACCUAAAAUGAUGACUUCUUCAGUUAGCAUCAUUACCUUUAUUGAGCUUUCUCUUCCCUCCCAGUACCCAUAAUUGGCCCAUCUUAAUUCUGCAAUUAUUAUCUCUAUUUGCCCAAUGAAUUAUACCCAACUACUGAUCCUUUUUACAGUAUUCCUAUCUUAACUACUUACCCUCUGCCAUAUAUCGCUGACACUUUUGCCUGUUUAUACCACAUAUCUGAAAUGGCAAAGCUAUCAACCCCAUAAUGUUUUUUGUGAAACUAUGCAACUGCUAUUAAAGUUCCAUCACCGUGUUUAUGUGCACUUUUCUUUCUCUAAGUUUAUAGUUGGCACUUAGGCCCAAGGAACCAUGCCCCGGGUAACAUGCAAACACCAAAUAGAAAAAAAAGUUCUCAAAAUCUUGCAAAUGCCAAUAUGCUUCUCCAGCCAUUCAACAAGAACUCUAGAGCCCUUCCAACAUGAAAAUGAGAGACCACUAGGUUGAGAAGUAACAUCCCUGUGUUAUGAAAACUCACGCUCUCUAAUUGAAUGUAACUAUGCACCAUCGUGCACCUCCUUCAAAUGUGUUUUAUGCUUCAAAUGUGUUUUAUGCAACUUGGCCAUAUAAGCUAUGACUCUGAGAUAAUUUUUAAGUGCAAACACAGCUGAAUUGAACUAAAAAUACAGGACAGCAAGCAAGUUGCUUUCUUGAAACAGCAAAUAUCCCAAUAAUUCCACUUUUUAGUCAUGAAAGAGGGAUAUCAUGCUUUCUAGAUUUGAAAGGUUCUUGAACCUGCCAGGUUUGCCGCUCAGUGUGCAUCUGCAAACUUCUCCGUGAAAUAAUUUUCUUCAUGGCAGCCUUAUUAUGUGAGAAUGGUUCUGGUUGCUCAAAAAGCCCCUCAUCAGUGGCAAUACUACCAUUACUGCUUGACCUUGAAAACGUAUCCAUGCCCUUAGGCUUUUGGGACAUGUACUCUCGCAAAUAGUAGUCCACGCGUCUCAGUAUCCCUGGAUGCAAGAUCACCUGUGAUAAAUUUGUUUAUUCAGAAAUUUAGUAACUUCCAAAGGUGAAAGUAGAAGAGGGAGUAAAUGAAAUGGUAAAGGAAGAACAUUCUUCGUAAGCAAGAAUUCUAAUGAGACCAUGGCAACAGCAAGCACCUUUUAACUCAGUUGGCAAUGAUUAAACCUACUCACAUUGAGGAAAUUGAUAUGACUCAAAAUAGGAGGGAAAAGCCAGUUGCAUCCAAAACGUAGACAAUCUAAAUGAAUAAAUUGAAAGAACAACGAAAGCCAACAUGUUUGUAAGACCAAAUGAAACAAAACUAAUUGCACAAAUAUAUAUCAAACCAUCAAGCAUGCACUUAAGCGAGGGUACACAUAAAGCUUUAUGAGCUUAAACAUACCUCUCUCUGAGGACGCUUGUCAUCCAGAUCAAACCUGUAGUUCGGCAGGGGAGCCUUGCUGACAACAACCACUUUAGCAUACAGAUGACUGCAAAAGACAAUCACAUGUCAAGAUUGCAUGCCAAAAGUAUGUUGAGACAUAAGUAAAGCUGAUCCUAUGAAGUUGAAGAUACCUAUACAAACCCAUUUGGCUUGCCAGAGCUGCUAUAUCUUCAUAAUCACGCCUAUCCUUUUUCUCCCUCGAUACUACUUCUUGGUUAUCCUUGUUUCGCAGAAGAGUGGUUAGCUUCCACUUCCAAGAAUCAAUAUUAUCAAAAGAGGAACCACCCUGGAAAUUAUCAUAUAUAAGCUUUAAGAAGAAACAAACACAUCAUUCCCUCCUCAUAUACAUAAGAAGUCUAAUAUUACUCAGCUAAAAUCGUAAGUUGAGCAGUCACAAAACUCAAUACAGACAAGUCUAUUUCAUUUUUUGAAUGCAUGUUGCACACAAAAGGCGCACCAAUACCUACCCUUUCAAUAUGUCAUAGAAGUACUACAAAUUUAACUACUUGUACGACUAACUGGCAUCCUACGGUGCAUCUAUUGCUGUCGAACACACUCAAUAGAACUUUACAUCUCGAAGAAAAUGACAGAAGCAAUAGUUUAAUUGACCCAGGAUACACUAAAUGGUAAAUGGUAAUAAAUGAGGAAUAUAUAAAUAAAGAAAAAUUUAGACAAAACAUCCCAGAACCACUCAAAUGAAUUCUUAGACACUACUCUAAAUGCUAAAUUGCACCACACCAUCUCGGAUGGCUUCAGAUUAUUGGAACCUUUUUGGAACACUUAAUUAUAAUGUUCUCGUGAGGAGAACUGCAUUGCUUUUAUGCUCAUGAAAGCCUUUUCUUAACUCAGACUUUAAACAAUUAAUUGAGAAAAUCUAUGCAAUAUGAGGCCACCGUGAUGAAGUAGCAAACAUGCCAACCAGCCUUAUGUGCCAACGGGAACACUAAGCAGAACUCACCCUUGCAAAAUUCAUUAGAACUCUCCAAUAAUGGACAAUCAAAGAAUUUUACAAAAAUAUCCCAGAAGUUAAACAAAAAGAGAGAGCCACAAUGACAGCUUGCAAAACUGAAAAUAGAGAACUUCACGUUGACAAGACAUGAUGAAUACCAAAGAAUAAUACUUCAUCAAGACUCCUUCAAGCAGAUUAUGUUAACAUGAAUCCGCAACAUGAAAAUGACAACAGCAGUAAACACCAUUUCCUAUCAAGUCUGAAAAUUAAGAUUUUCAACAUGCUAAUGAAUCACUAAUAGUUAAGGUAUAAUUAUAUUAUCGCCUGUAAUUUGACUCCAAAAAAAUUCCUUUUCCUUUUUCCCUUCAAUUAGAUGCUUAUUCAUGCAGCUAUACAUCCACUGACAAUAUGAAAGAAAUCACCUAUUAACUCGACUUCAGUCACCUGAUAAACAUUCAACUUGACUGCUAAUCAAUUUUCACCAUUGCCCAUAUAUCCAGCAAAAAUAUUAAAAAAUUUUCUAGAGAACCAGCCCAGCCUUUACAAUGGGGAAAAGCAACCAAAAUGUGAAGCUAUAAAUUACAUACCACAUAGUAAGUUCCACCAAAAAAAAAUUGAUAAACUUGUUCCCAAUCCGUCAACUUCACAACAGAAUCAAUAACAAUAAGCACAUUAAUCAUGACUACAAACUAAACAAAACUAUCAUUUAUGUAAAAGCUAAGCAAAUUCGAGAUUUACUGGAUGAACAGGGAGAUCAAUGUCACGGUCGGAGCCUUCCGAUGACACGUCAUCAGUCGAGCUUUUCUUCUUAAGCUGCUGGUGAAAAUGGUGAGGAGGCAGAUAAGUAUUGUUUCUAGAAUUUACAAAUGAGCUGUGUUUAUCAUCACUGUUGGUUAACGCCGGCUUGGAAUGAAUAGCACGAGGAGGAGACGCGGGAGGAGCAGUAGGAGUGCUGGUUUUGGAAAUGACGGAGCGGAGGCGGUGGUGCGGAGGAACAUAGACAGCGCCGUAGGAAGACGGCAGCCGGUCCUUCAUUUUCACCUCCCGAGAUACUACCAAUUUCUGGGGUUUUAGGGUUUUGGCGUGUGAAUUGUAAGUAUAGAAAUGGAGAGAAGAGAGGAUCAUCCACGGCGAGGUGUCCGGUGAGGUGAGUCAGCGGUGCUGGUGCCGAUUCCCGUUGCCGGAACAGUCAUGGAAGUUUUAGCUGUUUUUGUGGGGGGUUUGGGCUGAAGAGAAACGGUUUGAUCGGGUGGUUGGUUCAAAAGGCGAUUAAUGUGAAGGAGUCACGUGACCUGAUUCAUUGGGGGGGUGAUAUAUGGAAGAAAGAUUGACAAACUAGAUUUGUGGGCUUAAUUCUAGAUUAGAUUAGUUUUGAGAUCCCAAUUGAUCAGGAGCAGUCAAAACCAUCGGUUAGAACAGUUUUAAAAGUAUAUUUACCAUUUCAGACAGUUUUCUGUAGCCCUUGUCUUCUUCUUCAUGAUUAAAUAAUUAAUCAAACCAUUUAGCUGCUGCCUGCUGAUUAGCUUCAAUGCAAAUUAACGAGAGAAGUAUAAUUCCUACCAAAGAAAGAGAGGAAAAGAUUUUCUUGUUUAUCACGACUUUGUGUAACGAUAUAAUCCUGGGGCGCAAUUGUCUGAUGACUUCUGCACAGUUGUGGAUGAUUAUUAAGGUAUGGAAAUUGGAAACAUGCUUGGAGUGCAGCAGGGGAAAUGAAGAGUGGAAAAUGCACAAGCACGUAAAGAACUAUUAUAAUAAGUAGACUACUUCCAACAGCCUUGGGGCUUGGGUAUCGAACAAACCCAAAACAUAUGUAAAGGCAGUUGAAGUUCAUACAUUCCUCUGUAACUGUAGCACUACAUCCUGAGAACCAUCUACUCUCUAGAAGCAAUUGGCCUCCAAGUACAGAGAUUUAAAACUUUACUUAAGUGCAGAUCAAGGGAUUUGAAUACAGAUCAAGUCAUCACCUGCAUUCUAAUAUCCAAACUUUCCUAGAAAUAUUGCACCAACAAUGCCUGCAUUCUAAUAUCCAGACUUUAUUGAAAAUAUUCCGCCGAAGACUUUCUAAAAACUAUUUCGCUAUCGGAUAAUAGGCAUCCGUUUAGAUCGAUGGUGAUUCAUUGAAUUACCCUUAAUCCCGUUUAGGUCUCCCCUCCUAAUGUCAAGUAGGAGUAAGUGUAGCAUAGAUUCUAUCGUGUUGACCAAAAAAAACAAAGAGCUUCUUGAGGCUGCAUUUCAAUAGCUUCUCACAAUGGACUUAUUCAAUCAUUUUGUAGUAGCAUUACGGCAAACAACGAAAUAAAAAUAGGGUAGGGAUUCGGGCAAAAUGGGCUUCUCCUAGUAAGUCUCCUCAUGUUUCAACCUAGAGAGAUGUAAAUUACACAAAAUGAAGUACAAAGCUACAAUGAACCGAGGGUGCCAAGUUGCGAACGAUUCCAGUUAGUACGUAUAGCCCUUGACGAACAUU
rnacentral:lncRNA from 1 species